AGGAGGGCUCUUCAUCUGGUGUGCUCUUACCGGCUUCAGGAUGGUCUUGUUCUACAUAUUAUCAAUUUCAUGUAACGCUUUUGAGUUUGGAGCGAUUUAGAUGAACAAGAGACCAAAUUUUCUAUGUUUACUUGGAGAAUCCCAUAAACCAUUUUUGGUUUUGCAAUUCUGUCUGGUUCUGUUUAGCGUCUAUCUACAAUUCAUCAGUUAAAAUUAGACAUUGUGAUAUUCGUGUUGUCUGAUCUGAGUGAGUGUAAUCGCUGCUUUCAGUGCACUCAAGCUUGGACAGUUUGACUAUAUGGUUAUCCUGAAAUCUAAAAAGUGGCCGCACACUUUUUGGUCGAACCGAGCGGCCGGCUCUCACAGCGCAUGCACGUGGUAAUUUAUUUGUCUGCAAGUGCAUGUAGGCGUGGCAUUAAAUACGUUCAUACUGCUCCUUUAGUUUAAGAAAGACAGAUCCAUUUGCAUUUAUUUCGGGUUUUUAAAAAUUCAAAAAGCUAUAUCUUUCAAACCGCGUGUCGGAAUUCAAAUCUGUUUUCACCAUUGAAAUCCUCGCGACGAGAUCUUUGAAACUAGAUCCCGCAUGGGUAUAUUUUAACAAAUUUUUUUCGAUGCCAACUUUGGAGCUAUAUAGUGCAACUCUAUUACUGCAUUGUGCAACUUUAUUACUACAUCGUGCAACUUUUUUUCAAAACUAAUGUUUGGAGCUGCGCCUUCAUAUGAGGUUAUAACCUAGCAACCACGACAACUUUGAUGUGCGACUAGUCUAUUGCCUCGACGAAAGUCGAUGUGCAACCUCCUCUUGUAAUGUAGUCUAGUCGCACACACAUUGAUGUUUAGUUGGCUUGUAAUGUAGUUUAGUUGCACAUACAUUGAUAUUUAGUUGGCUUGUAAUGUAGUCUAGUUGCACACACAUUGAUGUUUAGUUGGCAGAAAGACUAAUUGCACACGCAUAUGCUUAGUUGACUUGUAAUUUAGUCUAGUUGCACACACACUGAUGUUUAGUUGGCAGGACACUAGUUGCACACACAUAUGCUCAGUUGGCGUGACAAUCUAGUCUAGUUGCACACACAUUGAUGUUUAGUUGGCAGAACUUUUUUGGCACACACACAUAUGCUCAGUUGGCGCGGCAAUCUAGUCUAGUUGCACACAUAUUGAUGUUUAGUUGGCAGGAAGACUAGUUCGUCGAAACACCCCCAUGCGGGAUAUAGUUUUGAAGAGCACGUUGCGAUGAAAACGGAUCUUAAUUCCGACGCGCGGUUUGGAAGAUAUAGCUUUUUGAAAAUUUGAAAACCGAAACAAAUGCAUAUGUGAUCUGUUUUUUCCAACUGAUUGUGACCGAUGUAAAUGUAUUAAAUGCUAAAAGAUACAUGCGCUAGCGGACAAAAAUUACACACAUGCAUGUCUAUGCAGAGCAGACGCUAGCGGAUAAAAGAAUUUCUAUUUUAGGCCGGCCGCUCGCGCAUGCCAGCGAGCAGCCGACCGCUACGUAGACUCGUCCUAUGGUUAUUGCACAAUCCUCAUCUUUUAUAUCCUUAUCUACGACCACUAUAAAAGAAAGAGAGGGGCAGAUCCAAACAAUCAUAUUCAUCCAUCAUCAAAAUCUAAUGGCCCUUAAUCAUUAUGUGUUUAACGCUACCAACCACGCAAUAAGCCACAGUCGAUCGAUAGUAAUCUGCCCUGCAGUAAAAAAAAUAAAGAAAAUCGCCCGCCCGCACGACCUCCUCCUUCUCCCGCACGACCUCCUUAUCCUCCCGCAGCCGCGCCCUUCACCGCCUCCUCGCGCCGCCGGAGCCACGGGAAGCGGCCGCGGGUCGCCGGGAGCCUCCCCAGCCGCGGGAGCCCGCCCCCGCCGACCCCGCCUCCGCCNNNNNNNNNNNNNNNNNNNNNNNNNNNNNNNNNNNNNNNNNNNNNNNNNNNNNNNNNNNNNNNNNNNNNNNNNNNNNNNNNNNNNNNNNNNNNNNNNNNNNNNNNNNNNNNNNNNNNNNNNNNNNNNNNNNNNNNNNNNNNNNNNNNNNNNNNNNNNNNNNNNNNNNNNNNNNNNNNNNNNNNNNNNNNNNNNNNNNNNNNNNNNNNNNNNNNNNNNNNNNNNNNNNNNNNNNNNNNNNNNNNNNNNNNNNNNNNNNNNNNNNNNNNNNNNNNNNNNNNNNNNNNNNNNNNNNNNNNNNNNNNNNNNNNNNNNNNNNNNNNNNNNNNNNNNNNNNNNNNNNNNNNNNNNNNNNNNNNNNNNNNNNNNNNNNNNNNNNNNNNNNNNNNNNNNNNNNNNNNNNNNNNNNNNNNNNNNNNNNNNNNNNNNNNNNNNNNNNNNNNNNNNNNNNNNNNNNNNNNNNNNNNNNNNNNNNNNNNNNNNNNNNNNNNNNNNNNNNNNNNNNNNNNNNNNNNNNNNNNNNNNNNNNNNAGCCGCCCCGCCGCGCCCUUCGCCGCCCCUCAUCCUCGGCGGCGAGAGGCACGCAGGAGCCGCCGCCAGGGACGUGGACGUGUGCAGGCCAACCACCGGCGUACGAGGCCGCGCCUGAGCCUGCGGCGCGGCGGCGCGGAGCCCUCCGCCGCCAGUUCCCUGCCGGUUCGAGAUCGCCACCGGUCCCCUCCGUGCCGUCAUCGUCCUUCCUGCUACCAGCUCCGUCCUCCGCCCUAUCUUCGCGGCAAUGUUCUGCUCCAUCCAUCGGUAAGUAGCGACCAUGUCGUCUCUCUCCGUUUCAAUUCCUAUAGUAUUUUUCCCAUGAUGUUUCUUAUCGAUGCUGAAACUCAGGCGACUAUGACCACUGUGUUUCUUUUUCCUGAAUGACCAUGAUUUUCAUUAGUUGUAACUGGUAAAGUAAGGCGUGGCUGUUUGCUUCGGCCAAAUCCAGCUCCAUUAUCAAAUGAAAUGUUAGGAGAAAGUAAGUCGGUAGCACUUCUCUUUUUCGAGAAGAGCUGGCAUGAUGGACAGGAGCGCUCUUUUGGUUUUGCUUAGCUGUUGGAUAAAAUGAUCACCCAGUCAGUUAUGGACUCAUGGCCAGGUUAAAUGUAUUCAGCUGUAUAAUACUCAUAUGGUCAGACUGCUUUCUUCUGUCUUAUAUUCUAAGUUUUCUGAAGACAUCCAACGGCCUUUGUACUGAUUUAUGUAGUUGUUGUUGCUCAUGCUGUUGUACAUACUACGUAAUGUUAUAAUGGUGUUAAAUUCUGAAAUUCAAGCCUCCCAUUGUAUGUGGCUGAAGUGCUAAAUUAUCUCUUUUUCUUCUUACUAUUCCAGGCGCAAACAACCUAUAGAGUCAAGGAGUAGAAUACCAAAAUACGAGCUGCAAAAGUGACUCAAAUUUCUCUUCCCUCACAAGUAACUACACUGGUAAUUGUCCAUGUGUGGAUCUGGUUGACAUGACCAUAUUUUUUGAUGUUUGCCAUUCAAUUUUAACUACAAUAUUGUUUCUAGAUAAGAUAUUGUUUUAUGUAUUAUCAUGGGUGCAUUUUGUUAAGUUUCGUGCACAAGUUGUUGAUAUUUACACAAUACUGUGUGUCCUAUGAAUACAUGGUUGUGGCUAUCAUUAAGAGUAUUCUGCUUCUGAAGUAUUAUUUUUCUUCUACGUUAGUUAUUUGAUUCUUGGGAGUUUGACAAUUUCAGAGGUGGAGGCUGGCCUGCAGCUUGUGUGCGCGGAGGAGAAGCACACUUCACCGACAAGUUGUUCCCGCUAUCCUCGCUGCCACUGCCAGUGACGGAACUUGGUGGUGAGCCUCUUCUCGCCCCCUCUCAGUUCUUCCCUUUUGAUCUGGAUGAUUUGUUCAUGUUGUUAGUGUUUAAAAAUAUCUUUCGUUGUUCUAGCUGAUAAUCUUGUUGGUCGCUGUCAGUGUGGUGCAUAUACACCUAGGCUUUAAGUUGUUGUGAUUUUCCUAUAAAAUGUUGUUGAGGGCAUGGAACUGAAAUUGACAUCAGAAAUAGACUUGUUAAUUUUUUGUGUUGCCACCAAACAAAAGCAGGUAUAUAAUCUACAAACCAGCAUAGCCGACCAGUGUGAUUUCAUAAAUAUGUAUACUUCUACAAAAUGGAGUAGGAACAUGCAGCUAAAUUUACGAUCAUCAAUUUUUCAGUUUUUUAUAACUUGUGUUCUGAAGCAGUUUGUUUUCUUCAAUUACAUGAUUUAGUAAAAUAACAUAUGGCCAGUUCAUUCCAAGUGUUGUUGAUUGUAGCAUAUUUCGGCCUUAUCUUCUAACAUACUUCAUGGUUUCAUUAGUGGACAACAUGCUGGAAAGAGAGUGUUCAUCCCUAUGAUCCCUUUGGCGCCCUCGGAGGACAUUUCACUUCCUUUCAAGUUGAAGAGGAAACAGUUCCCUGGAUCGAUCCUGGAGAGCCCCUUCCGUAACCAAGUCCCCUCCCCACUCGGAGUCCUCCGCCACUGACGCACGGGUAAGCGCCAGAGAUGCGGUGCAUCCACGCGGUUCAACGAGCUGCCGCUGUCGUAGAUAACCAAGACGUACACGGAGAUAAGCAAGAUUCAGUGUGCUGCACUGCCCCCACGCGCUCUGAGGGUGCGAUGUCCCCGACGUGUCCAAGACAAGGUCCAGGAAGACCCUCGCCUUCGUUAUCCUGGUAAAGUUUUGCUGUUAUUUUACUCCCCCAAUUCCACUUACAGGGGAACAAAGAGUAAGAGUAAUCCUGGGGAUAAUGGUAUUUUCAUUUGUGCUUCUAAUUAAUAGUAUUACUGUCAGCUCCAUCCUUAGAGCAAUUGACGAAAAUGACUAUAUCACCUAGAUUGAUAGACAAUAAUUAUGCACAAACAUGGCAAUGUCCACAAAACAACUGCCGCUGCAUUGCUAAGAUGCAGCUUGAUUUGGCCUCAAUAUUUUGAUUUUUGAGUAUUACUUUCUUCCACUCCUCUGCAAAAUACUCCUAUGUUCUAGCUUCUCAAGCCUCUACUCUCAACCAGUCCAGUUGUCCAGGUGUUUUUUUUUUGAUAAAUAUUGAUUUUGUUUCCUUUAUCUAUCGGUUUCAAUUCUGUAUCCGCCGUUCUCAGGAUAACUGUGUGAUGUCGCCAUGGGAUCCAAAAUAACUAUUUUUUACUGAAGCUACAGACUUAAGCAGUUUCUACCACGUGUACUGUAUUUUGAGUUAAACCUGAACGGCUUUCGUCGCAUGAUACACCACAGUGCUUUCAUGUUUUUAGGAGGGUAGUUCUUCCCUGUGUUAUGAAUAUGAUUACUAUGGUGUCACUGUACAUUUCUUAUAUGGUUAGUUCUUAAUUUUCUUCAUUAUUCCAAACAUGUGUACCCACUAGGAUUUCAUUUUUUAUUAUUUACCUUCAAGCAGUAUAUAUUACUGUUGUUUGUUUUCCACCUUGAUCCUUCGCUGAUAUUUUUCCUAGGAAACUUCACAUGGAAUUAGGAUCAGUUAAUAAGAUUCUGGUAUAUUCUCAAUUUUUCUUGCUUUAUGCAUGAACCUAUCAUCAAGAUUUGGAUCUCUUAUAUGUGCCUUUGCUGCUGUAGAUUUGUUGGUGUUGAUUUGCAGUAAGAGGAAAUGUACUAUUGUUCUCAUCAAUUUCUUUCAUACCAUGUGUAUGGUUAGUUCUUAAUAUUCUUCAUUAUUCAAAAUACUUCUACCCACUAGGAUUCAUUUUUUUUUUACCGUCAAGCACUAUAUAUAUUACUGUUGUUUGUUGUAUACCUUGAUCCUUCGCUGAUGUUUUUCCUAGGCAACUUCACAUGGAAUUAGGAUCACUUAAUAAGAUUCUGGUAUAUUCUGCAAAUUUUCUUGCUUUAUGCAUGAACCUAUCAUCAAGAAUUGGAUCUCUUAUAUGUGCAUGUGCUGCUGUAUAUUGGUUGGGUGUUGAUUUGUAGUAAGAGGAAAUGUACUAUUGUUCUCAUCAAUUUCUUUCAUAUCAUCUUAUAAAAAUAUGUUGUUUAAAUAUGAAGAGGUGGAUAAGUUUUUGGCUUUAGUUACUGAAUAUCCAGAUCCGGCUUGCUUCUCAGCUAUGGCCUACAUUUAGAAGAAAUAUGUUGUUUAAAUAUGAAGAGGUGGAUAAGUUUCUGGCUUUAGUUACUGAAUAUCCGGAUCCUGCUUGCUUCUCAGCCAUGGCUUACAUUUAGAGAAGACAUGUUCAUAUGUAAGAGAUUUAAGGUCAAUGAUCUCCCCCUAUUGUAAUGCUCAUCAUCUUAAUCCAGACAUUGCUAUAUAUACGCACCAUGGUUCAUGACUGUACUUUUUUCUUACGUGUUUACGAAGUUUGUCAGUAUUAUUAUGCAGAGAUAACCUGUCAUGGUUCUACGUUGAUGUGUUCUUUCAUUUGUCAAUUUCUUUUGCUUUGAAGCAAUGUUGAUUGCCUCAAAGAAUGGUUCCGCGUGGCUUACACGCUUAUACCUACUUGAAUGUUAAAUUUUAUUAGCAAAUUCAUCGAGAACAAUGCCAACAUUUUAUGUCUUGCUACAUGAAGCUAUGUACUGCAGGGUACAACAGUGUCAACAUUUCCGGUGCUCAUUGACAAUAAGAUUGAAGAUGUAUUUUCUUGAUUGGAAAUAUUAUACCUCAAAUUUAAUUCAAUCGUGGAUACAAUGACAACUUUAUGCCCUGAAUAACAAGUGAUUAUGUGAGUGUAGGAAUUAGGACUGGUGACAACAACAUGUGGAGUGGCACAACAAGUGGUGCUGUGGAGUACCGAAGCAAGGGUAGUCAGGUAAAUCCAACGGCGUGCACGUUUCGAUCGCCGACUGCGAUCGCCCUAUUUGGACAAGGGGCACAUUGGUUCAUAAAACAAUCAACACGUCUUUAUGAUUUAAAUUUGAAUUAUGAUGGAAAUAUUUCUGUUUCAUAAUCGAGACGUGUGUUACACGUACAUGCUUACUAGUUGGGACGUAAAAAACUGUCACGAUUCACUUCUAAAAGCAUGCUGUCAGCGGAACCAACGUAUAAUGUGUGCUAUUUUGAAACAAGCCUAAUACAACCAUUAAUUAUAUACCAAUGUAAAGUGCAUCACACCACCAGAUUGACAAUCAUGCGAGGAUCGGGAGGGACAGGGAAGUGUCGGUGUAAGAGCAACUCGGGCGACCCAUUUCGUUCGUGGGUGUCUAUUUGGGUCGGUGCGGAUUCAUUUUUGACUUGGAUUUGCGUCGGCGCGGACAAGAGAAGCGCGCGCGCUUGGCUUCUCCUUUCCCCUCAAAACCCUGCUGCCCGCCAUGGAUGACGACCUCGCCACCGGCCUUGCCUUCCUCAACUUGUCCGGCAUGACGACUGCCCCCUUCGGCAAAAGCAAGCCUCGCGCCUCCCGCAAGACCGCCGUCGCGCCCAAGCCGAAGAAAACGAGUUGGCGAAGAGGAAGGGCGGGAGGAGGCACGCAACGGGCGUGAGGGACGAAGCCAUCGUGGCCGUCGCUGUCGCCGCACCGCAGGUCACCAACGCCCGCGUCGCAUCGGCAACGAGGGAGGCGCUAUAUAUGCUAGGGUUAAACCCUAGUCAGCAUGGCUUGUCAACGCCGCUGUGGCCGCGGCCAGCACCGGCUCAUCUGCGUUCCCUCGAAUGGUGCUGCCCUGACUCGCCCCGCGCGUCGGCGAUGCAGCCGAUACCCGGCUUCCAUGUUACCCACAGGCCUCCCACCUCUCCGGGGAGUGCUCGCCCGAGGUGAGCGUGGUGGCGCCUUCCAUGCCCAUGCCCAUCGACCUCAACGCCACACCGGUGGCCGGUGGCUCGUCAUCCGGAGGCGCGCGACACAUGCCAGCCGAUGUGGAGGGCAUGGUGAACAAGGACUCAAGGGAGGAGGAGCAUCGACGAUACAAAGAAGAACAAAUGAACGCUUUCAUGGUGAUCCAAAGGAGGAGGCUUGAGAUGGAUGCAGAGAAGCAAGCCAAGAUGCUUGAGAUGGAUGCGGAGAAGCAAGCCAAGAUGCUAGAGAUCGAGGUCGCCAACGCCAAAACCAAGGCGAAAGAAGUGGCUCUCGCGAGCAUGAUGACUGGGGUGGAGAUCAUGAUGUUGGAUCUCAACACCGUGUCGCCAAGGAAGAGGUUGUGGUUCGAGAAGAUGCAGGCCGACAUGCUCAAGUUCGACGACGAGUGACAAAAGGCGGCGAGCGCCAUACUUUUUUUGUAUGCCAACAAGUGUGCUGGCGUGACCACGGCCGUGAUGGCGUGGUCGAACUCCCGCCACUUUUUUGUGUGCUGGCAUGUGUGUCGGCCACUGGCAAGUGCGCCAGUCGAACUGUGUGUUAUUUUUCUGAAGCUGACAUUGUAUGCCGGCGCUGGCCAUGGUGUUGAUAUGAACUUUGGGACGACGACAUGGUCGCUGGCAUGAACUAUGGCCGCAGGCCUUUUUUCAAAAUUUGCAUGCGGACAUGAAAUGGGUCGACGCAUUAGGCGCACUGCCAACCCAAAUCUCAAACGGGACGGACACCGAGCGGGCGGCCGAUCCAACGGACGAAAAGCGGAAAGAAGCGCCGUCUGUUUGGGUCUUUGGAGUUGCUCUAUUUUAUAUAAUCCAGAAGAGGAAGGCCGGUUGAGUACUUUAUUGUCAAGAUAGGUUUUAUCCACUUUAUUGAAUUUAUGUCAUUGAAGCAAUGGACUUGCUAGCCAGGGUGCCGAGUUGUUAAGACCCCGCUCUUGAAUGGAUAAAGCAACCGGCGGAGGUGAAGUCUAAGAGCAAGAAAAGAGAGCUUGAAACUUCUUUCCAUUACAAUCACAACCUGUCACUCUAGUCAGAACGACUCAUUCUUGAUCACUUUCCCAGUAUUCUUGCAUGUGUCUUUGAAAAAGGACGAGGUGUUGUUGAGGGUUCCUACCCCAUUCAACAUUUUGCAUUUUGGUUGCUUUCUCUUUUGCAACUCUUUUAUAGCAAUAUUCGUAGGCUAACCCAGACAUCCAUCACUCCCAGAAAAAAGAUUCCAACACCGUCAUGACAAAAGGCAUCGGUUUUCUCUAAUCUAACUUGAAUUCAGAUCAAUAAUCAAUAGGCACACGAACAAGGCAAGAGCGCGGUUUCAGCUAAAAUCAACUCUACGAGGAAGGCAGAACUCAGUGGUGACUGUGGGACAAUGAUUGUAUCAAAAUUCAGAGGUGAAACAUGCAAAUCCUUAAUGAUGCAAUGCUAGCUAACAAAGUAUUGGUACCAAUUGAGCAUCAUGAAAGCUCUUGUGCACGAGUCAAGGGGUUGUUUGGGACUGUUUUGCUCCCUAAAAUUCAUCUCCGCUCUAAAAAAUGCAAGCCAAACGAGAUAGCUUCGCGAUAUGUCGCUCCACAAAAAAAAUCUAGGGUUAGGGUUAGAAUCUGGGGUACAACCCCUGUUUUCGUGAAGCUCUUAAAGGGGUGCUAAAAAACUCUAGAAGCUAGAGUUGGGGGAAAUUACCCACCACUACCAUUAGUAAGUGGACACCCUUUGUUUUUCCCAUGACAUCCAAUCAAGUAGAUCAUUUUCCACCAAAUUUCUCAUUUUUGAAACUAGAGCUAGCUGAAAGCCAAACACGAUAAACUACUCUUUGGUGGAGCUGCAACCCCUAUAUGGAACUUCUCCAAAGUACAUCGGGUGGAGUGAAGCUGAUUUUGGUGAAGCGAAGCAGUCCCAAACAGACCCUAAAGGGACAGUAUUUGUAAUCCUUGUACUGCCACAUGGUCCUUGUACUGCCUCUUAUACAUCACCUACUCAUGCAAAUCAAAGACUUCAAAGCUCUUAUGAUCAUGCUCUCAUUAUCAUUUGUCCUAGAGCUAGAUGCUCUUGAAGUGUACAUUCAUAGUGUGUUUUCACCAUCUUCAUCUUCGUCGCCUCCAAUGUCUUUUUCAACCAAAAUCUUCACCAUCUCAUGACGAGUUGAGGUGGCAAUCAUCUUCAAACAAGCUGCUCUGACCCAACAAACCUUCACAUGCCCACUCACCUACACCUUAGUUUGACGUUAGCUAGAAUCAUAGUUUAAAAAACCGAACCGGCGCUAGUGGAGGCGAUUGCUAUACAAAUUGGUUUUUAUCCCCUUUCCGUGACAAAGUUUUAAACCGCCGCCUUGCUUGUGUGUGCGAAAGGGGAAGGGGGGGGGGGGUCCUUCGCACAUGACCCAGAAAACCGUCGGCAAUAGGUCCUCCGGUCACACACGCGGGGCAAAAAGAGCUCGUGUGCUAUCGGCCGAGCCAUCGCAAACAAUUAUGCAUGCCCAAUUGUUUUCGUUUGUAUGUACAUCCCACACAGUGAAUUCAGACAAACGUUUCCUUUCGUAUGUACAUCCCACAGUGAAUCCGAGACAAAUGUUUCCGUCCGUCCGUACAUCACACACAAUUUUCUGCAUCAAAUCGUCUGUGAUAGUGUUGCCAUUGCAGACGAUAUUAAUAAUGCUAUCGUUUGUGUUAUUGAAUGCAUCACGCACGGUGCCUAGAAGAAACCGUGUGGCAUAGGCUGCCCAUCACACACCUUUUAUGUGGAAAACGUUUGUGCGAGGUGGCCUAACACAAAUUGUUGUCCACAUGAAGUCAUGUGUGAUUGUUCGUUGAUCCAACACGCUUACUUCCUAAAAACCGUGUGGGUUAUCCGAGGUCAUCGCCCAUGAUGUUGUCUUAAUAACCGUUUGCAAUAGAAAAACCCAAUAAGCAGGCUAAUUGGCCUAUUAUUUUGAAUCCGUUAGUAAUCAAAUUAACAAUUCAUAUUAAACACACAAUAUAUUUCAUUUUCGCAUUAUGGAACCAGGAUUUCAUAAUUGAAAUACAUCAAGUACAACAUCAUAUAGCUUCAACACUCACUUACACCAUAUAGGCAUAUAGCUAUUUAGCCCAUUACACAACAACAUCAAAUUUCACAUGCAACAUCUAAAACCUUUGGAAACUAGCAUCGUAGACGGUAGAUAGAUAGAUGAAUCUCAUUGUCGAGGGAAUUUACCCCAGGUAGCCUCAUCCGCACCCAAUAAUAUUUCAAGACAUCGGGGAUGGCAAAGCCCUCAUGCCGGCUAGCCGUGUGGCCGGCUAGGACCACGCGGCCGGCUUCCAGAAGACAGCGUACGCUUAGAAGGCGGCUUCGGGGGUGGGCUGGCUUCUAGCAGUCGGCCCCUCCUUCUCCUCGGAGUCUGCACUCACCUACUACGACGAGACAAGGCGUAGCUACAGUGUCGCCUGCUCCCCCCAAAUCCCAGAAGGGCAUGGCUACAGUGCCCGCUGACCAAACGGCCACCUACCCACACAACGUGGGACUGUAGCCAUACGAUGCAUGACGCGGCCCUCGUCAGCAAGGACCGCGCUACAGCAAAAGGCAAUCAGCAUGGCCCACAGGCGGCGGGCCCUACCCGCCGGCUGGAUUCUCGACAGCCAGCGAGGCCCUCCAGAGGCAGGCCCCAACAGCCGACGGAGAACCUGGCGACCCUAGACACCGACGUCCGGGUCCUACACCCGACCGUAUUACCAUUGUACCCCUGGGGGUCAGCCUGUAAGACCCCCCGGGCUCACCCAUGCAAAGGGUUCAACUCUCAUUCCACACACACACCAUAGCUAGGAGAAGCGGGAAAGCCCUACCCUUCUUCCUCCUCUAGCAAUACAGCUCCAGGAGCAACUUUGUAUACUAUCGAUCAUAGUCAUCACAGCAGGAUUAGGAGUGUUUUCUCUCCGGAGAGCCCCGAACCUGGGUACGUCUCGUGUGCUCCCGAGCUCGUGCUCACUCUCGCUUCCGGAACCCGACGACGUCCUCAUGGUUCCACCCAUGAUAAGCCACCCCCUGGCAUCUGAUGUGAGAUUACCACAAUAGUUGGCACCCACCGUGGGGCCAUCCGUGGCGUCGGCCAUCCGGAAGGAAACCCUCCACCCCGCCGCGAGAACGGAGUGACCUCCUGGUCCUCUAGUGCUGGCGACCGCGGCCAGCGGAACCCGGAGCCGGCUGCUAGCCGUAGUCGGUGAUCUCACGAGACGGUUGUGAACAGCCGGCAAGUUCCUCUGAGAGUGGAGGGCCGGCGCCAGCAGGAUGAACGUCCGCCCCCGGUAGGGAGAGGCUGGCUUCUCCAGCACCGGUUGACCACCCAACCUUGGGGGGCCGGCUAGGCCCCCGUGAAGCAGUCAGCGAGAAUGACGCUCGUCGCCGGAUCGAGCAGCUGGCUCGGUCCCUAGCAAUGGAGGAUGAGGAUAUAGUCAGCCCGGCCUACUUUGGCCCCCGCAUCCGCGACGAGCCCUUCCCCAAAGGGUUCUUGCUUCCUCGCGACACUCCCAAGUAGAACGGCGCCGUGAAGCCGGAAGAUUGGCUCACCGACUAUGCCACAGCCGUCAUCAUAGUAAACGGCAACAAGCGCGUUGCCAUGAGGUACGUUCCGCUCAUGUUGCAGGGCAUGACCCGGACAUGGCUGAACAACCUCAAGCCCAAGAGCAUCAACAGUUGGCUGGACUUCAGCGAAGUCUUCGUGCGCAACUUCAACAGCACCUACAAGCGGCCCCCAAGCCUCGUCAGCUCUCGAUGUGCGUUCAGGGCCCAACCGAGUCCACUCACGACUACCUGACGCACUGGGCUGAGUUGUGCAACUCUUGCGAGGGGGUGCACGAGGUGCAAGCCAUCGAGUACUUCACCGCCGGGUGCACAAAGGGCACCCUGCUCAAGCACAAGCUUUUGUGCGACGAGCCGGCUACCUUGGACGAGCUCCUGGUGAUGGCGGACAAGUACGCCAUUGCCGACUCUUCCAUAAAGUCGGAGAUCCGGAUCAAUGCGUCCGAGAAGGUGAUCCCCUCGGCUUCUCAGGCGUCGGCUGGUGACCCCAACCGGCAUCAGCAACCGAACGACAACAAGCGCAAGGCCCAGCAACCGGCUUCUAAUAGUCGGCGGGUGGCGACCGUCGAGGACCAGCAGCCGUUAGGUCAACCCGGCCCCAAGCGUCAGCGGGGCGGCAAGGGCGCCUGGCUGCCGGCCUUCUCCUUUGAGCAGACCCUCGACGCUCCAUGCAAGUUCCACAAUCGCGUGAAGCCCAACCAUACAACCUGGCAGUGCAGCUGGCUCACCCAAAUCACUAAGGGUGAGGGCUUGCCGCUGCCUCUAGCCGGCCCGGCGGUUCUGGCUCCUCAGCAGCCAGCCCGCCCUGUCGGCAUGCUCCAAGAUGAAUUCCCCAACAAGAACGCCACUUACGUCGUCUUCACCAGUGAAGCCAGCGACAAGCACAGUCGGCGUUAGCAGCACCGCGAGGUGAAUGCUGUUAUUCCAGAGGUCCCCCAAUUCAUGCACUAGUCCGAGAGGCCCAUCACCUGGAGCCGACAUGACCAUCCGUCCGUGAUGCCUUCGCCGGGUGUUUAUGCCAUGGUGCUGGACUCCACCUUCUCAACUGAGAGGCAGGCGUGCCGCUUCUCCCGAAUCCUGAUAGACGGCGGUAGAAACAUCAACAUCCUCUACCGCGACACCAUGGAAAAGAUGGGCAUCAAGGAGCAGCAACUCCAGCCCAGCCGGACCGUGUUCUAUGGCAUUAUCCCUGGGCUUUCCCGCUCUCCAAUCGGCAAGAUCAAGAUCGACGUCCUGUUCGGCGACACGACCCACUUCUGCCGAGAGCCUAUCUGGUUUGAGGUGGUUGACUUGGACAACCCCUACCACAUGCUCUUGGGCCGGCCCGUGAUAGCCAAGUUCAUGAUGGUUCCGCACUAUGCAUACCUAAAGGCGAAGAUGCCGGGUCCCAAGGGCAUCAUCACCAUUGCCGACGACUAUAAAAAGUCGCUCGAAUGCGCCGCAGCCAGCUCCCGGCUGGCCGAGUCCCUCAUCAUCGCCAAAGAAAAGUCCCUCCUUGACUGGGCUGUGGCCAUGGCCAGCAAGCAGCCAACCAUGCUGACUGACCCCAAGGAUGAUGAAGGCGAGGGCUCCUUCUAGCUGGCCAAGGAAACCAAGAAGAUCAUCUUGGACCCGGCGCACCCGGAGCAAUAUGUUGUCGUGGGGUCCAACCUCGAUAGCAAAUAGGAAGGCCAGCUCGUCGACUUCCUCCGUGAGAAUCGGGAUAUAUUCGCGUGGUCCCCCAAGGACAUGCCGGGUGUUCCAAAGAAGUUCACGGAGCACAAGCUGCAUGUACGGCCAGAUGCUAAGCCGGUCAAGCAACCCCUCCACCACCUAUCACAAGAGAAGAGAAGGAUCGUUGGUGAAGAAAUCGCCCGGCUUCUGGCAUCUAGCUUCAUCAUGGAAGUCUUCUACCCGGACUGGCUUGUCAACCCAGUCCUCGUUUUGAAGAAAAACAACAAGUGGCGCAUGUGUAUUGUAAGUGCAUCUAGUGCCACCCCUAGUUGGUUUUGGAGUAUUGACGACAAACCUAGUUGAGGGACUAAUGUGUUUGUGAGAAUUGCAGGAUAACACAAGUAGAAGUCCCUCAUUGAUUCGGUUUUACUACCAGAGAUGACCCCUAAAAAUGUAUGAAGACAUUGAAGCCAAAGGUGGUAUAUGAAGAUAUUCACAUUGAAGACUAUGACAAAAGAAGACACGUUAUGAAGCCUAUGGAGCUCGAAGACUUAGAUCUUUCGAAGUUCUUUUUCUUUUGUGUUGAGUCAUAGGAACCACCGCACUGUUAAGUGGGGUCCACGAGAACCAGUCAGAAUGACUGAAGUGAUGCCUAAAUCAAAAACCUAUGUCUUCGAGUGAAGACAAUGAGAGCGAAUCUUGUCUAGAGCCGGACAAGUCAGCUUUGCUUGUAGCCCAAGUAAAGUUGCCAUGAGAGUUUGAAAUCUGACCGUUGAGACACGUGUCAGUUCCUUAGUGACCCAGGGUCAUUUCGGACAAAUCAGGUCGGGUUGCCAAGUGGCUAUAAAUAGCCCACCCCCUACAACCAUAAACGGUUGGCUGCUCAGAUUUCAGUGCACGGCUUUUGUCGUUUGAGAGCAACCCACCUCGAAGCCUUUGAGAGAAAAUUCCUAGCGAGGAGAAAAGCCCUAACCACCCAGAGCCAGAGAACAUUGGGCAUCACUUAAGUCUUCUUGUCUGUGAUUUGAAGACUUAUUACACUUGAGGACUGUGAAUCCUCCAGACGGUUAGGCGUCGCGGUCAAAGCAUCCAAGAGACAUUGUGGAUUGCCACUGAACGAAGUUUGUGAAGGUUUGGGAGUCUACCUUGAAGACUUACCAGAGUGAUUGGGCGAGGACUAUGUGACCUUAGCUCAAGGAGAAUACGGUGAGGACUUGGUGUCCUGAGCUGCGUGUUCAAGACUGGGUGUCCGGGACUGUGUGUCCUAAGGUUUAAAUACCUAGCCGCUCCAACCAGACGUACAGUUGUCACAGCAACUGGAACUGGUCCAACACAUCAUUGUCUUCAACGAGUCACUGGUUUCAUCUUCACUUCCUUUUUCUUACUGUUACUCAUUGUGAAGCCAUUGCAUGCUUGCUCUAUCUUUUGUCUUCACAACGUGAAUGUAUGAUCUGUUUGGCUUCAUAACUUCUUCCUACCUGAUCCUUAUUACACUACAGCUGUUUGUCAUUGUGCUUUCACUCUAUUGAAUACUUGACCAUGGCCGGCCUAGUGUAAUCUAAUUUCCGCUGCAUAGUAAUAUGCAUAAUCUUUGCUGUUUGUCUUCAUAACUCCCACGUUUUGAAGACUUUCAUAAAAAUCGCCUAUUCACCCCCCUCUAGUCGAUAUAACGCACUUUCAAUUGGUAUCAGAGCGAGGUGCUCCCUUGUUCCGUGUGAUUCGGUUUAACCACCUGAAGUUUUAGCUAUGUCGACUGCAGGGAUAAUCAAAGUCUUCGCUGUGUGCCCCGUCUUCGAUGGAACUGAAUAUCCCUACUGGAAGAAUAAGAUGCACAUGCAUCUUGAAGCCAUUGACGUCGACCUAUGGUAUGUCGUCGAGAACGGCGUUCCCAAGGCUGGAGAAGGUGUCACUGCUGCUGAUGUCAAGAAGUUCACUCAACUGGACUCCACUGCCAAAAAUAUCAUCUGCGGUCAUCUGACAAAAGGACAGUAUGGCCGUGUGAGUGCCUUGAAGACAUCCAAGCUGGUCUGGGACUGGCUCUCCAAAGUCAAUGAAGGCAUCUCAACCCAGAGAGAUCAAAGAAUCAGUGUUCUUCGCAACCUCUUCAACCGCUUCAAGCGAAAUGACAAUGAGAAUGUUCAGCACACAUUUGACCGGCUCAUUGACAUCACAAAUGAGCUUCAAGCCCUCGGUGCCACUGAGAUCACCAAACAUGAAAUCGUCAAGACGCUGCUGAGAUCACUUGAUAGUUCGUUUGACAUCCUAGCCCUGAUGAUUCAAGAACGUCCUGAUUUCAAGACACUCGAUCCGUCUGACAUACUUGAGAGGCUCAACACACAUGAGUUUUAGCUUUCUGAGAAAAGAGAUAUCUACGGUCCAAACUAUGGGCGAACUCGAGCCUUGAAGGCAAAAGCUGUUUCCUCAUCUGAAGAAGAAUCUAACAGCAGUUCUGAUGAUCCUGAAGACAUUGGAAGGGAACUUGCAAUGCUAGUGAAGAAGUUCCAAAAAUUCACCAAGAAGAAAGGCUUCAGAAAAUCUUCACGAUCAAGCUCAAGGAAUGAUGAAGUUUUUGCUCAUGACUACAAGAAGAAAACAUGUCACAAGUGCAAGAAAACUAGACACUUCAUCUCUGAGUGUCCACAGUGGGACAAUGAGAACAGAAGGAAGAAGAAGAGCAAGGAAUAUGAUUCUGACGACAAGAAGAAGAAGAAAUACUCAAAGUCUUCUUCCAAGUCUUCCUCAAAGUCUUCAUCACACAAGAAGAGCUCAUCUGGCAAGGUACGUGCGUUUGUUGGCAAGGAAAUGGAUUCAGAGGAGGAGUCGCUUCUGAGGAGGCAGAGGUGGAAUCUGAGGAGGAGUCUGAUUCUGGCAUUGCGAGUCUGGCUACAGCAUACGUCGCCAAGUCCAUCUUCAACACUGAAGACAAUGACUUCAUCACCGACACUGAUGCAAAUGACAAGAACGACUCCACUCCUACCUACUGCUUCAUGGCACGCGGUGCCAAGGUAAACACACGCACUACUCGCUAUCAAACAUCUAGUGACGAUGACUCUGACUGUGAUUCAAAACCCAGCUACAAAACACUUGCUAAAAUUGCAACUGAACAACAGAAAGCUAUGGAACAUAUUCAAAAACUGUUAGACAGAAGUGAUGAUCUGUUGGGUGCUGAAAUGACUCGAUCUGAAUCCUUAAUUGAAGACAUAAAAAAUCUUCACAUUAAGUAUCAGGAACUUGAAGAUCGUCUUGAUACUCUCUCAACAACUCAUGAAAAGCUUUCCUAUGAUUAUCUUCAAAGGAAGCAAGAACUUGAGAAAUUGAGAGCGGCUCAUGAAGAUCUUCAAAAGGAAAACGAGUCACUUCGCGCCGAACAGAUCAGUUCCGCUCAGGAAGGAUUUGAACCACCAUGUCUUAAAUGCAUUGAGCAUGAUAAUGCUACUUCUGUUGCUGAAUGUUCCACUGCUACUGCUGUUGCAAUUGAAAGUGCGUUAUAUCGACUAGAGGGGGGGUGAAUAGGCAAUUUUAUGAAAGUCUUCAAAACGUGGGAGUUAUGAAGACAAACAACAAAGAUUAUGCCUAUUACUAUGCAGCGGAAGUUAGAUUACACUAGGCCAGCCAUGGUCAAGUAUUCAAUAGAGUGAAAGCACAAUGACAAACAGCUGUAGUGUAAUAAGGAUCAGGUAGGAAGAAGUUAUGAAGCCAAACAGAUCAUACAUUCACGUUGUGAAGACAAAAGAUAGAGCAAGCAUGCAAUGGCUUCACAAUGAGUAACAGUAAGAAAAAGGAAGUGAAGAUGAAACCAGUGACUCGUUGAAGACAAUGAUGUGUUGGACCAGUUCCAGUUGCUGUGACAACUGUACGUCUGGUUGGAGCGGCUAGGUAUUUAAACCUUAGGACACACAGUCCCGGACACCCAGUCCUGAACACGCAGCUCAGGACACCAAGUCCUCACCGUAUUCUCCUUGAGCUAAGGUCACAUAGUCCUCGCCCAAUCACUCUGGUAAGUCUUCAAGGUAGACUCCCAAACCUUCACAAACUUCGUUCACUGGCAAUCCACAAUGUCUCUUGGACGCUCUGAACGCGACACCUAAUUGUCUGGAGGAUUGACAGUCCUCAAGUGUAAUAAGUCUUCAGAUCACACAAACAAGAAGACUUAAGUGAUGCCCAAUGUUCUCUGGCUCUGGGUGGUUAGGGCUUUUCUCCUCGCUAGGAAUUUUCUCUCAAAGGCUUCGAGGUGGGUUGCUCUCAAACGACAAAAGCCGUGCACUGAAAUCUAAGCAGCCAACCGUUUAUGGUUGUAGGGGGUGGGCUAUUUAUAGCCACUUGGCAACCCGACCUGAUUUUUCCGAAAUGACCCUGGGUCACUAAGGAACUAACACGUGUCUCAACGGUCAGAUUUCAAACUCUCAUGGCAACUUUACUUGGGCUACAAGGAAAGCUGACUUGUCCGGCUCUGGACAAGAUUCGCUCUCAUUGUCUUCACUCGAAGACAUAGGUUUUUUGGUUUAGGCAUCACUUCAGUCAUUCUGAGUGGUUCUCCUGGACCCCACUUAACAGUACGGUGGUUCCUAUGACUCAACACAAAAGAAAAAGAACUACGAAAGAUCUAAGUCUUCGAGCUCCAUAGGCUUCAUAACGUGUCUUCUUUUGUCAUAGUCUUCAAAGUGAAUAUCUUCAUAUACCACCUUUGGCUUCAAUGUCUUCAUACAUUUUUAGGGGUCAUCUCUGGAAGUAAAACCGAAUCAAUGAGGGACUUCUACCUGUUUUAUCCUGCAAUUCUCACAAACACAUUAGUCCCUCAACUAGGUUUGUCGUCAAUACUCCAAAACCAACUAGGGUUGGCACUAGAUGCACUUACAAUCUCCCCCUUUUUGGUGAUUGAUGACAAACUAGUUGAAGUUUUCAACGAGGAAUAUAGUCUGUGAAAUUGUAAAGGACAAGGAAUUGUCUUCAUAAGUUGCAAGGGCUCCCCCUGAAGAUGUGCAUAUAAGUUAAUUUGCUUUUGGAAUGCAAAUGCACAUGGCAGGUUGUACUUGAGGAGAUCCACUUCAGCUUAUGAUGACAAUCCACUAUGCAUGUGAAGGUAUAUGAAGAUAAUGACAUGCAUAAUGGAAAAUGGACGUCUGCAGAAUGAGCUAAGUGCGGAAUUUAUCGUCGCACUUGUGGAAUUUAUCUUCACAAAAUAGGGUGGCAAACAAGUAGCAGACGACCAUCUGGUUUAAGUGUUACAACUCAUAAGAACCAAAUGAAGCAAAAACGGGAGUUGUAAGCACGAAGCAAAAUAUAGCAAAACAUAAAGCACUCGCCCAUAUGGACCCGCUUGAAGACUAUCAACUCAUAUGCUUCUCCCCCUUUUGUCACGAGGACCAAAAAGGAUUUAAGACAUAGAGUGUCUACUCGGUCUCAGGAGCAGUAGGGUCGUUGGAGGUGUUUGGCGGUGCAGAAGAGCUUGGAGGUGCUGAAGCAGGUGGCGGUGAUGUAGCAUCGUCUUCUUCAUCGAUGAUUCUGGCAGUGACUGUGGCAGCAGAUGAAGAAAACUCAGAGUCUUCAAGUGAUGGUGUGUUGCGCAUCACAGCCCUUCUAGGAGGUGUGGUGUCAAACUUGAAGCGCUCAGUGAAGCCAUCCUCUUCAAGUUCAGCUUCAGUACAUAUCAUUGAUAGCCCUUUCCAUGUACGCCGGCGGGUUUCAUGAGUGACAAAAGCAUUCUUGGUGGCAAGAUUUCGAAGACGAUUAACAUCUACCAAGAGGCUUUUCAUCUGACGCUUUAGCCAGUCGUGAUGCCUAUCUUGUUUUUGGUGAAGGGCCACAAGAAGCUCUCGGUCAUUGAGAACACGAGCGCGCUUCUUGGGUCUUGAAGCAGUUGCACUAUCAGUGGCUUCAGUUGAAGCAGGGUGUGGCGCACAUGUAGUGCCAGCCAAAGGAUACACCCUGGAGAUAGCUUCAACACCUUCAUCAUUUUGAGUGAAGCUCUGGUGUUCUGCAUUCUGAAGACUUAUAGGUUGCUUGGCAGGCUCAGGAUAUAUAGCUUCGGCAGAGGUAUCCACAUCUGGCAAGAAGAUCCGAUGAUUUCGGGCUGAGGGCUGAUACGAGAUCGCAGAGUGCAGUUUGAUCAGCCUCAUCACCCAAGGAGCAUAGAACUUCAAACCAAAUAAAUCUGAGCCUGACGCUGCAAGUUGGCGUAUGAAGAAAUCCUGUGCGUUGAAGCAUUUGCCAUGAAGGAUAUAGAAUAUGAGAGUCUUCAUUGCACCCUCAAUCUUGGCAUGUGGAGAGUGUCCCUUAAUGGGCCAGAGAGUCCGCCGGAUGAUGUGAUAUAUGGUCCUGGGCAGGUACUCAAGGUCUUCAACAAAUAACUCAGUUGGAUAGGGUGCAUCAUGGGGCAAAGCCUUCAUCAUUGAGAGCAUCUGACUCAUAUUGGGUUCAGGCCUCUGGAAUAUGCUCUCAAUAGCUUCAUCAUGUAGUUGACAGCCUUCCUCGAAGAAUUUGCCAGGAGUGGGCAGGCCGGUGAGCUCAGUGAUAUCAAACGCAUUUGCUUCAUGAUGGACAUUUCCGGUCAUCCACUCCAGGACCCAAGUCUUCGGAUCUCUGUUGUAUCCUUUAAUAUGGAGGGUGGCAUAGAAUUGCAACAGAAGCUCUUCAUUCCAGUGCUCUUCAUCAGUUAUAAACGGCAGCAAACCCACUUGCUUGAAGCAAUCCAGCGCUUCCUCUAAGCAGGGCAGACCAGCAAUGGCUUCAACAUCAAGGCGCUUGUGAGGGAAGAUGCGGCCUUGGUUGUAUAAGAUGCAUGAAUAGUAGCUGCGCUGAGGAUAGCUCCAGAACCUAUCUGAUGAAAUCCGUUCCCUUGAGUAGGGGUUCUUGGAGCUGUUGAAAAACGUAUUGUCUGCCCUGAAGCUAUUGAUGUCAAAGGAGCCAGGUGCUGAUGCAGGACCUGGGAACCUUGGCAUCCUUGGGACUGGCUUCUGUACAUGAGGCCUGUGCUCAACAUGGUAAUCAAAUUGAGGACCUGCAGCAGACUCAGGAACGGAAGUGUCUGGUUCAGUAGCUUCGCUGUCUGCUGAAGCUUUUGGUGGGGAGGGCUCCACAUUGGCUUCAGUGUUGGUUGUGGCAGCCUCAACAUUUUCAGCCUCUGCUUGACUAGCUGGAGGGUCAGUCACAAGCACGUUCUCUUGGAGAACUGCUUCUUGGUGUAGCGGGGGAGUGGGAUCUUGUGGUACUUCUUCAUUUUCUUCGGCUGAUGCAGCCGGAAUGUCUUUAGCAUAGACUUGAGGCCUUGGACCUUUGUGAAGCCUGCGGAACGCAGACGACGCUUGUGGGGUUGGAGUGGGCUGGACCUCAAAGUCUUCUUCCUCUUGAGGGCGAUCCGCCCAUGACGCAUCUUGUGCAAUUGGCGUCAGAGGACGACCAAUGCUGAUGAGCUCGCUUUGUUCAUACUAAGGAAGGGCUGCAUCAUCUUGUACAUUGUCCUGAUGACCAAUGUCUUCAGCAGCGAUGGGGUCGGCUGCUGGUAUGUCUUCAGCUUCAGGAGCCUCUGUGGAAGCAGGCUCAUGAACCGUCAGUUGACGUUCUGCGUUCGGGUACACCAUAGCAAUAGGUUCAACUAUCAAGGGCUCUGUGGGAGCAGCCCGAGAUUUCUUGAUCUUUCGCUUCUUCUUGCUGGGGGCAGUAGGAGAGGCUUCAGAGCUUUUCCUUUUCCUUGCUUCAGCCUCAGCAGUUCUUAUCUUCUUGAGCUCUGAAGCUGUUGACUGGCUCUUUGGCUCCGAGCCAGUCGUUGCAGUUGGGAAGACAACUGGACUGCUUCUUGCCUAGGUGCCUCUGGUUUAGCCAUAGCAGGCUUCUUCUUCUUCUUCGCGGCCAUCUUGGGGUCAAUGCCUGGACGCCCAAGUGCCUUGCGCUUUUCAGCCUCAUUGUAGGCUUGUACACAUCUUUCCGCCAGAUACUUCAUCCCCUCACAUGAGCCCUGAGCUUCUGCACGCUUCUUCAGAAAAUUUUCUUUGAGCUCAUGCAGCAUGGUCUUGAAGCUCUUCACUUCUUGCACGCUGAGCUUGGCCAUAUUCUUCUUGAACUGAGCCUUUUCAUGAUCAAUUUUCUGCUUCAGUUCAACAAUGCGCUGGGCAAUGGCAAGUUCUGAAGCAAUUGCGCCUUGGAAGGCGACGCUGAGGCCAACAGGCAGCUGCAGAUCUUCAAAGCUUAUGUCUGGUGUGGCAAACCAUUCGUCGAUGAAGUUAUGGAUGAUGGCGACAUCAAAGAGAGGCAAAUUGUUGAAGAUUUCAGCUUCUUCUUUGCUUUUGAUAAGCUGCUCUAGAGCGUCAUCUCCAAGAUCUUCAUCACUUGAUACAUCAAUGGCUUCGCUGCGCAGAAUGGCAGCAGCUGUGAGCUCUUUGCCGGUGUGUGGCUGGGGCACCUUGUCCUUCAGGGGCUUGGAGACGCGGGAUACGUCUUCAGACUGCACACUGUCUUCAGGAGGUGCAGUUGCCAAUGGCUUCACCCUUGAGACUUUUGAGGAAGUGGCCUGCUUUGAAGCUUUUGGCUUCUUCGACUGCUUUGGCUUCGGUAUAGCAGGAGCUUCAUCAGACUCAGAGUCAGCUGGAGGGUCAUUCACGGCAGUCCCUUGGACUAAGAUGUGGGUGAUGAGGCCCUCAAGGUUGGCAAACGGACCAAUGACAUUGGGUUCUGCGUAGCGUGUGCCUUCUGCCCUUGGUGCGGAGGGGCCAGGGUUGUAGUCUAACCCAAAUUUCUUCUUGUUCAGCUUCGCUGAUUGUUGGGCAAACUGGAACUUACGCUUGAACAGAUUGUUGUCUCCACACCAGAGAAGUGACGACGGAUGCGCAUCAUCAGGCUGUGGUCCUCGGACCAUGCAUGGGUAGAAGCCUUGAGCAAUGGCUUCAUCUUUGGUCCUGGGUAUGAGAUUCUUGUAAAUGAUGUCCCCCCAUGGUUUCUUGAUGGCAAAUUUCUCAGCAUACUCCUGAGUGACAAGCGGUAUUUGAACCACUGUUCUUCCCAAUAGCGUCGAAUCCAUUGGAUUCGGGUCUUGCGCUGCCCAUAACUCUCUUCUGGAUCUGUUUUAUACAUUUCUGCCAGGUCUUCAGGCAAAUCUUUUGAAGUUCCUUCACGUCUUUGUCCGCCCCCUUCCUUGCUGCUGCUUCUGAAGCCAUAAACUUUAACUUGAAAGGCUUCAAAACUUUCAAAGGUUUCAAAGGCUUUCUUUUGCUGGACCAACAGGAACUGGCUUCAGGAGAGUUUAUGUGAUGCUGUAGGAAUUCUGCAAAUGAAUGCAUACUAUGAGAACCGAAGGAUUCUCCGACGGACAUGUACCUAUGACAGCAUUAAGGUGCGAGGGAAGGGGAAGAGGUCAUAUGCAUUCUCAGAAGGUUUUGAAGAUUAAUCAGUUUAGAAGACAUUGACCUCAUCGCGAGAAGACAUUCACUCAUAGAUAAGAAGUUGGUUCCAGAUUUGUAUGAACCCACAGAUCAGUACAAGUGAGGAAUCUAACUACUUUAUGAAGCACAAGUGAAUAUACUAGGUAUGUUAUGAGAUGCAGAUUAAGAGAUCUAUCUUAUGUGAAGAGAAACUUCUUAUGGUAGAAAGUGACAGAACCAUGAGAUCAAAAGAGGCUGUAAUAAGAAGUUUUAUUUACCACACUUGGAACUGCUAGACGUAAGUGAGAGAUGAUGCCGAGCAGUUCAGUCCUCCGUGCCCUAACUUGGCGACGGAAGACACCUACGACAACGGCGGAGAGGACGAUGUCCGCAGUCGGCGUGAGGACGGCGUCGGAGAAGUUGCGGCAGCGAAGCGCUUCAUCGCCGGCGUCGUCGAGUGCUAGCGAUGGCGCUAGGGUUCGUGCGAGGGUGGAAGAAGGAGAUAAUGACCGUGGUAAGUGUGAAUUUAUAGGCUCAGGGGCGACACCGUGCUAUUACACAGGUGCUCCUGGCGAUUCGCAUCUGAGGAACGCGUGGCCAGUUUGCGGAAAUUUUGGGUUUGUUCCACGUCCCACGCAUGCCUGGAUUGUCGGGCGGUCGUUCCUGCUUCUCUGGAUUUUAUGUGGAGGAAUGAGCAUUGAAAACGGACUUUAUGGUUGUCUCUUUAUCUUCUGCUGACAAGGACGCAGUGAAGACAUUCGACAGUUUCAAUAGAAUGCAUAUGACUUGGAAAGAUAGAAUUUGAGAUAGAAAGCAUAGAGAGAUUAGGGUCCGAUCACAUUCACUUAGUUCAAAAGAUUCAACCAAGAAGACAUAGCUAUAAGUGAAUGCUGUAGAGGACAGAACACUAGUAUGUGUAUAUCUAUAUAAUCAACGUAGUGAAAAUAAUCAUGAAGACAUGUUAAGUUCGAAGCCAAACCAAAUGUGAAGAUAUUGCAAGGUAAUGCCAUGAGUGAAACACUUCAAAAUAAAACGUUUGGUGGUGGCGUUACCCACCGUAUAGGAAGUAUUAGACCCAGACACGGCGCACAAUUAUCGUGGCGCUCCGAAGUCAAAUUCCACAUUAAUGUAUUCACACUUAGAAUGUAUGUCUUCAUUGAAUGAAGAUAUACUUUACUUUGUGUGUUGCACAUCUAAGUCAUCAAUAUGCAUAAGUGUUAGGAUGUGUGCCUGAUCACAAGACAUUUGAGGAUUCCAAGAUAUUUAGCUCACACCGUAACUUGCAAAAUCUCUUCUCAUCCAAGGGCUUGGUGAAGAUAUCUGCCAAUUGCUCUUCAGUGUUGACGUGUAUGAUAUCAAUGUCUUCCUUCACAACAUGAUCUCUGAUAAAGUGAUGACGAAUUUCAAUGUGCUUUGUCUUCGAGUGCUGAACUGGGUUGUUGGCAAUCUUGAUGGCGCUUUCGUUGUCGCAGUAAAGUGGCACUUGCUUUAGAUGAAUGCCAUAGUCCUUGAGUGUUUGCUUCAUCCACAGAAGCUGAGCGCAGCAAGAUCCAGCAGCAAUGUAUUCAGAUUCAGCAGUGGAGAGAGAUACACAGUUCUGCUUCUUUGAAGACCAACAUACAAGUGAUCGUCCCAGAAAGUGACAUGUGCCUGAUGUAGACUUGCGAUCAACUUUGUCACCAGCAUAAUCAGCAUCCGAAAAUCCAACCAAAUCAAACUCUGAGCCCUUGGGAUACCAUAAUCCUAGAGUUGGGGUGUGAGCCAAAUAUCAAAGAAUUCGCUUCACAGCUAAGUGAUGCGACUCCUUUGGUGCCGCUUGAAAUCAAGCACACAUGCAAACACUAAGCAUAAUAUCUGGCCUAGAUGCACAUAAAUAAAGCGAAGAACCAAUCAUGGAGCGGUAUACCUUUUGAUCGAACUCUUUACCAUUGUCGUCAGGACCUAGAUGAUGUUUGGCUGGCAUUGGUGUUGUGAAGCCUUUGCAGUCUUGCAUACCGAACUUCUUUAGGCAAUCUUUGAGAUACUUCUCUUGAGAUAUGAAGAUGCCAUUGCGUUGUUGUCGUAUUUGAAGACCAAGGAAGAACUUCAGCUCCCCCAUCAUGGACAUCUGAUAUUGCUCUUGCAUCAUAUAUCCAAACUCUUCACUGUACUUCUGAUUGGUGCAGCCGAAGAUAAUGUCAUCCACAUAUAUUUGGCACACAAACAGUUCACCAUCAUAUGUCUUCGUGAAAAGAGUGGGAUCCAGGGAACCAGGUAUGAAGCCUUUGCUCUUCAGGAAGUAUUUGAGUGUGUCAUACCAGGCCCUAGGAGCUUGUUUGAGGCCAUACAGUGCCUUGUUGAGCUUGUAUACCAUAUCAGGAUGUUUUGGAUUUUCAAAGCGAGGCGGUUGUGCAACAUACACUUCUUCUUCAAUCUUGCCAUUGAGAAAGGCACUUUUCACAUCCAUUUGAUAUAGAAGUAUGUUAUGAUGAUUUGCAUAGGCCAACAGUAUGCGUAUGGCUUCAAGCCUUGCCACAGGAGCAAAUGUUUCAUCGAAGUCAAUGCCCUCCACUUGAGUAUAUCCUUGAGCAACGAGACGAGCUUUGUUUCUGACAACUUGACCAUGCUCAUCUUGCUUGUUGCGGUAUAUCCAUUUGGUGCCUAUUAUGUUGUGCUUCCGUGGAUCAGGACGCUUGACCAGUUCCCAUACACUAUUCAGCUCAAACUGUUGAAGCUCUUCUUGCAUAGCUUGAAUCCAUUCAGGUUCCAUGAAGGCUUCUUCAACUUUCUUGGGUUCUGAUAUUGAUACGAAUGCGAAGUGCCCACAGAAAUUUGCUAGCUGAGUUGCCCUUGUACGAGUGAGUGGACUAGGUGCAUUGAUGUUGUUAAUUAUUUUGUCAAUCUGCACUUCAUUGGCAACACGAGGAUGUAUAGGGCGAAGACUUUGCUCUUGCUGAUCUGUGUUGUUGUUGGGAGGAAUGUCUUCAGGUUGAGCAUUUUCUUCAUGUUGAUCAGGUGCUGAGAUGAUAAGUUCUUCUUCAGGAUGAGCUUCAGAAGGUAUAAUCUCUCUAGUUCCCAUUUGCUUGAUUGAUUCACUAGCUGGAAUCUCAUCUAGCACAUUUGGCAGUUGCUCUCUUUGUGAACCAUUUGUCUCAUUGAACCGCACAUCCACUAUUUGAAUCACUUUGUAAUGAAAGAGAUUGAAGACUCUGUAGGAGUGCGAAUCCUUUCCAUAUCCAAGCAUAAAGCCCUCAUGUGCUUUUGGUGCAAACUUUGAGGUGUGGUGUGGGUCCUUGAUCUAGCACCUUGCGCCAAAUACUCUGAAGUAACUGACAUUUGGCUUCUUGCCAAUUAGGAGUUCAUAAGAUGUCUUGUUCAGAAGCUUGUGAAGAUAAACACGAUUGAUUGUAUGGCAUGCAGUGUCAAUGGCUUCAGUCCAGAAUUUUCUUGGAGUCUUGUAUUCAUCUAGCAUUGUUCUGGCCAUCUCAAUGAGUGUUCUGUUCUUGCGUUCGACGACGCCAUUCUGCUGUGGCGUGUACGGAGCUGAGAAUUCAUGUGUGAUGCCCAAGGUAUCAAGAUAUGUAUCAAGGCCAGUGUUCUUGAAUUCAGUGCCAUUGUCACUUCUGAUGUGCUUUAUCUUGGCGCCAAAAUUGUUCAUAGCACGAUUGGCGAAGCGUCUGAAGACAUCCUACACUUCAGUCUUGUAAAGGAUUAUGUGCACCCAAGUAUAUCUAGAGUAGUCAUCAACAAUGACAAAGCCAUAGAGGCAAGCAGUAGUAGUAAAAGUUGAGUAGUGAGUGGGGCCGAAAAGAUCCAUGUGGAGCAGUUCGAAGGGUUGAGUAGUAGUCAUAAUUGUCUUCGAAGGAUGUUUUGCCCUUGUCAUCUUCCCUGCUUCACAGGCACCGCAUAAGUGAUCUUUCUUGAACUUGACGCCCUCGAUGCCUAUGACAUGCUUCUUCUUCGCAAGGGUGUGGAGGUUCCUCAUGCCAGCAUGCCCAAGCCUCCGAUGCCAAAGCCAGCAUUCUGAAGCUUUUGCAAGAAGACAUACCGCAAGUUGUGGCCCUGCUGAGAAAUCUACCACAUACAAAUCAUCUUUCUAAUACCCUUCAAACACUAGAGACUUGUCAGAUUCCAUUAGUACUAGGCAACGAUAUUUUCCAAACAUUACGAUCAUGUUCAAAUCGCAAAGCAUUGAGAUAGACAUUAAGUUGAAGCCAAGGGAUUCAACAAGCAUGACUUUAUCCCUGUGUUGAUCCUUUGAGAUUGCAACUCUACCUAGACCCAAUACCUUACUUUUACCAGUGUCAGCAAAUGUGAUGUGGCUCUUGUCGGAUGGACGUAAGGUUGAGUCCAUAAGAAGGCUUCUUUUGCCAGUCAUGUGAUUUGUACACCCACUGUCAAUAAUCCAUUCUAAAGACUUUGAAGUCGCUAGUGUCGUACCCUACAGUGCAGUUUGGGGGAUAGGCUUCACGAAGAGAAUUGUGAAGCAAAAACAUUUGACGAACCAGUGGGUUAUGAAAACUUAGAUCCAGAUUAGGACUAAUAGGGAGAGUAGCAUGCGAUUCAGGAACGAAGUACAUAAUGAUGCCAUUCGGGCAUUUUAUCUUGUGCCCUACAAGAUUUUUAAGGUCCCCAGCAAUAGCGUCAGAAGAUUUUGUUUUUCUGCUGGAGACCUUUCCCUGCAAAAGAGAGUUAAGCUUUCUUAACCACCCACAUCUUCAAGGGUGGCUUAGAAGCAAUAAGUCUAAGUGCAGCAUCUGAGAAUUUUGGCUUUGAAGCCUUAGCAAACAGUCUUGCAGGUGGACAAUAAUACUCAUAGGAAUAAGCAGAAUAAUUUUUGGUCAUAUGAACAUGACGGUUCAAUGAACCGUUCUCAUAUUCAUAUGCCAGAGUAUGGUUUCCCUGCAAAACAUUUGCGUUAGUGUGACUCGGGUGAGUCCUCUGUUUGUAUGAAGCCUUUGGACCGUAUGAAGCCUUUGGUCUGAGGUUUGUCUUCUUCAAGUGACGUGUCAUGAAGACAUUCACAGGAAGAUUUUCCAGACACUUUUUCGGAACCCAGAUCUUUUUCACAGGCGGUCCAUUCCUGCAGUUAGUACCAAUAUACCUGGCAAACACUUCACCAUUCUGAUUCUUAAACAGUUUAUAGUUUGCAUCAAAGGAUUCAUCAAUGAUAAUGGGGUUAGCACAAGUGAAGCCAGAUAAAUUGGAUGGAUCUGCUGAAAGUUCCUUUGCAGCAACCCAUGUGGUUUUGGGGUACUGCUCAGGUUUCCAGUAAGAGCCAUCUGCAUUUAUUUUCCUCACGAAUCCAACACCCUCUUUCCUAGGGUUUCGGUUCAGAAUCUGCUUCUUGAGGACAUCACAUAAUGUCUGAUGUCCUUUAAGACUUUUGUACAUUCCUGUUUCAAGCAAUGUCUUCAACCUAGCAUUCUCAUCAGCAAUAGCAGUGGUAUCCUCAGCAGAGGGGUUAGUUACCACAUCAAUAGUUGAAGAUAUUGCAACAACAGUAGCAGUGGAACAUUCAGCAACAGAAGUAGCAUUAUCACGCUCAAUGCAUUUAAGACAUGGUGGUUCAAAUCCUUCCUGAGCGGAACUGAUCUGUUCGGCGCGAAGUGACUCGUUUUCCUUUUGAAGAUCUUCAUGAGCCACUCUCAAUUUCUCAAGUUCUUGCUUCCUUUGAAGAUAAUCAUAGGAAAGCUUUUCAUGAGUUGUUGAGAGAGUAUCAAGACGAUCUUUAAGUUCCUGAUACUUAACGUGAAGAUUUUUUAUGUCUUCAAUUAAGGAUUCAGAUCGAGUCAUUUCAGCACCCAACAGAUCAUCGCUUCUGUCUAACAGUUUUUGAAUAUGUUCCAUAGCUUUCUGUUGUUCAGUUGCAAUUUUAGCAAGUGUUUUGUAGCUGGGUUUUGAAUCACAGUCAGAGUCAUCGUCACUAGAUGUUUGAUAGCGAGUAGUGCGUGUGUUUACCUUGGCACCGCGUGCCAUGAAGCAGUAGGUAGGAGUGGAGUCGUUCUUGUCAUUUGCAUCAGUGUCGGUGAUGAAGUCAUUGUCUUCAGUGUUGAAGAUGGACUUGGCGACGUAUGCCGUAGCCAGACUCGCAAUGCCAGAAUCAGACUCCUCCUCCGAUUCCACCUCUGCCUCCUCAGAAGCGGACUCCUCCUCUGAAUCCAUUUCCUUGCCAACAAACGCACGUGCCUUGCCAGAUGAGCUCUUCUGUGUGAUGAAGACUUUGAGGAAGACUUGGAAGAAGACUUUGAGUAUUUCUUCUUCUUCUUGUCGUCAGAAUCAUAUUCCUUGCUCUUCUUCUUCCUUCUGUUCUCAUUGUCCCACUGUGGACACUCAGAGAUGAAGUGUCCAGUUUUCUUGCACUUGUGACAUAUUUUCUUCUUGUAGUCAUGAGCAGAAGCUUCAUCAUUCCUUGAGCUUGAUCGUGAAGAUUUUCUGAAGCCUUUCUUCUUGGUGAAUUUUUGGAACUUCUUUACUAGCAUUGCAAGUUCCCUUCCAAUGUCUUCAGGAUCAUCAAAACUGCUGUCAGAUUCUUCUUCAAAUGAGGAAACAGUUUUUGCCUUCAAGGCACGAGUUCGCCCAUAGUUUGGACCGUAGAUAUCUCUUUUCUCAGAAAGCUGAAACGCAUGUGUGUUGAGCCUCUCAAGUAUGUCAGACGGAUCGAGUGUCUUGAAAUCAGGACGUUCUUGAAUCAUCAGGGCUAGGAUGUAAAACGAACUAUCAAGUGAUCUCAGCAGCGUCUUGAUGAUUUCAUGUUUGGUGAUCUCAGUGGCGCCGAUGGCUUGAAGCUCAUUUGUGAUGUCAGUGAGCCGGUCAAAUGUGUGCUGGACAUUCUCAUUGUCAUUUCGCUUGAAGCGGUUGAAGAGGUUGCGAAGAACACUGAUUCUUUGAUCUCUCUGGGUUGAGAUGCCUUCAUUGACCUUGGAGAGCCAGUCCCAGACCAGCUUGGAUGUCUUCAAGGCACUCACACGGCCAUACUGUCCUUUUGUUAGAUGACCACAGAUGAUAUUUUUGGCAGUGGAGUCCAGUUGAGUGAACUUCUUGACAUCAGCAGCAGUGACACCUUCUCCAGCCUUGGGAACGCCGUUCUCGAUGACAUACCAUAGGUCGACGUCAAUGGCUUCAAGAUGCAUGCGCAUCUUAUUCUUCUAGUAGGGAUAUUCAGUUCCAUUGAAGACGGGGCACGCAGCGGAGACUUUGAUUAUCCCUGCAGUCGACAUAGCUAAAACUCCAGGUGGUUAAACCGAAUCACACAGAACAAGGGAGCACCUUGCUCUGAUACCAAUUGAAAGUGCGUUAUAUCGACUAGAGGGGGGGUGAAUAGGCGAUUUUAUGAAAGUCUUCAAAACGUGGGAGUUAUGAAGACAAACAGCAAAGAUUAUGCCUAUUACUAUGCAGCGGAAGUUAGAUUACACUAGGCCAGCCAUGGUCAAGUAUUCAAUAGAGUGAAAGCACAAUGACAAACAGCUGUAGUGUAAUAAGGAUCAGGUAGGAAGAAGUUAUGAAGCCAAACAGAUCAUACAUUCACGUUGUGAAGACAAAAGAUAGAGCAAGCAUGCAAUGGCUUCACAAUGAGUAACAGUAAGAAAAAGGAAGUGAAGAUGAAACCAGUGACUCGUUGAAGACAAUGAUGUGUUGGACCAGUUCCAGUUGCUGUGACAACUGUACGUCUGGUUGGAGCGGCUAGGUAUUUAAACCUUAGGACACACAGUCCCGGACACCCAGUCCUGAACACGCAGCUCAGGACACCAAGUCCUCACCGUAUUCUCCUUGAGCUAAGGUCACAUAGUCCUUGCCCAAUCACUCUGGUAAGUCUUCAAGGUAGACUCCCAAACCUUCACAAACUUCGUUCACUGGCAAUCCACAAUGUCUCUUGGAUGCUAUGAACGCGACGCCUAACCGUCUGGAGGAUUCACAGUCCUCAAGUGUAAUAAGUCUUCAUAUCACACAGACAAGAAGACUUAUGUGACGCCCAAUGUUCUCUGGCUCUGGGUGGUUAGGGCUUUUCUCCUCGCUAGGAAUUUUCUCUCAAAGGCUUCGAGGUGGGUUGCUCUAAAACGACAAAAGCCGUGCACUGAAAUCUAAGCAGCCAACCGUUUAUGGUUGUAGGGGGUGGGCUAUUUAUAGCCACUUGGCAACCCGACCUGAUUUGUCCGAAAUGACCCUGGGUCACUAAGGAACUGACACGUGUCUCAACGGUCAGAUUUCAAACUCUCAUGGCAACUUUACUUGGGCUACAAGCAAAGCUGACUUGUCCGGCUCUGGACAAGAUUCGCUCUCAUUGUCUACACUCGAAGACAUAGGUUUUUUGGUUUAGGCAUCACUUCAGUCAUUCUGACUGGUUCUCCUAGACCCCACUUAACAGUAUGGUGAUUCCUAUGACUCAACACAAAAGAAAAAGAACUACGAAAGAUCUACGUCUUCGAGCUCCAUAGGCUUCAUAACGUGUCUUCUUUUGUCAUAGUCUUCAAAGUGAAUAUCUUCAUAUACCACCUUUGGCUUCAAUGUCUUCAUACAUUUUUAGGGGUCAUCUCUGGAAGUAAAACCGAAUCAAUGAGGGACUUCUACCUGUUUUAUCCUGCAAUUCUCACAAACACAUUAGUCCCUCAACUAGGUUUGUCGUCAAUACUCCAAAACCAACUAGGGGUGGCACUAGAUGCACUUACAGCAAUAUCUUCAACUGUUGAUGUGGUAACUAACCCCUUUGCUGAGGAUACCAUUGCUAUUGCUGAUGAGAAUGCUAGGUUGAAGACAUUGCUUGAAACAGGGAUGUACAAAAGUCUUAAAGGACAUCAGACAUUAUGUGAUGUCCUCAAGAAGCAGAUUCUGAACCGAAACCCUAGGAAAGAGGGUGUUGGGUUCGUAAGAAAAAUAAAUGCAGAUGGCUCUUACUGGAGACCUGAGCAGUACCCCAAAACCACAUGGGUUGCUGCAAAGGAACUUUCAGCAGAUCCAUCCAAUUUAUCUGGCUUCACUUGUGCUAACCCCAUUAUCAUUGAUGAAUCCUUUGACGUAAACUAUAAACUGUUUAAGAAUCAGAAUGGUGAAGUGUUUGCCAGGUACAUUGGUACUAAUUGCAGGAAUGGACCGCCUAUGAAGAAGAUCUGGGCUCCGAAAAAGUGUCUGGAAAAUCUUCCUAUGAAUGUCUUCGUGACACCUCACUCGAAGAAGACAAACCUCAGACCAAAGGCUUCAUACGGUCCAAAGGCUUCAUUCAAACAGAGGACUCACCUGAGUCACACUAACGCAAAUGUUUUGCAGGGAAACCAUACUCAGGCAUAUGAAUAUGAGAGCGGUUCAUCGAACCGUCAUGUUCAUAUGACCAAAAAUUAUUCUGCUUAUUCCUAUGAGUAUUAUUGUCCACCUGCAAGACUGUUUGCUAAGGCUUCAAAGCCAAAAUUCUCAGAUGCUGCACUUAGACUUAUUGCUUCUAAGCCACCCUUGAAGAUGUGGGUGGUUAAGAAAGCUUAACUCUCUUUUGCAGGGAAAGGUCUCCAGCAGAAAAACAAAAUCUUCUGACGCUAUUGCUGGGGACCUUAAAAAUCUUGUAGGGUGCAAGAUAAAAUGCCCAAAUGGCAUCAUUAUGUACUUCGUUCCUGAAUCGCAUGCUACUCUCCCUAUUAGUCCUAAUCUGGAUCUAAGUUUUCAUAACCCACUGGUUCGUCAAAUGUUUUUGCUUCACAAUUCUCUUCGUGAAGCCUAUCCCCCUAACUACACUGUUGGGUACGACACCAGCGUCUUCAAAGUCUUCAGAAUGGAUUAUUGACAGUGGGUGUACAAAUCACAUGACUGGCAAAACAAGCCUUCUUAUGGACUCAACCUUACGUCCAUCCGACAAGAGCCACAUCACAUUUGCUGACACUGGUAAAAGUAAGGUAUUGGGUCUAGGUAGAGUUGCAAUCUCAAAGGAUCAACACAUGGAUAAAGUCAUGCUUGUUGAAUCCCUUGGCUUCAACUUAAUGUCUGUCUCAAUGCUUUGCGAUUUGAACAUGAUCGUAAUGUUUGGAAAAUAUCGUUGCCUAGUACUAAUGGAAUCUGACAAGUCUCUAGUGUUUGAAGGGUAUCGAAAAGAUGAUCUGUACGUGGUAGAUUUCUCAGCAGGGCCACAACUUGCAGUAUGUCUUCUUGCAAAAGCUUCAGAAUGCUGGCUUUUGGCAUUGGAGGCUUGGGCAUGCUGGCAUGAGGAACCUCCACACCCUUGCGAAGAAGAAACAUGUCAUAGGCAUCGAGGGCGUCAAGUUCAAGAAAGAUCACUUAUGCGGUGCCUGUGAAGCAGGGAAGAUGACAAGGGCAAAACAUCCUUCGAAGACAAUCAUGACUACUACUCAACCCUUCGAACUGCUCCACAUGGAUCUUUUCGGCCCCACCCACUACUCAACUUUUACUACUACUGCCUGCCUCUAUGGCUUCGUCAUUGUUGAUGAUUACUCUAGAUAUACUUGGGUGCACAUAAUCCUUUACAAUACUGAAGUGCAGGAUGUCUUCAGACGCUUCGCCAAUCGUGCUAUGAACAAUUUUGGCGCCAAGAUAAAACACAUCAGAAGUGACAAUGGCACUGAAUUCAAGAACACUGGCCUUGAUACAUAUCUUGAUACCUUGGGCAUCACACAUGAAUUCUCAGCUCCGUACACGCCACAGCAGAAUGGCGUCGUCGAACGCAAAAACAGAACACUCAUUGAGAUGGCCAGAACAAUGCUAGAUGAAUACAAGACUCCAAGAAAAUUCUGGACUGAAGCCAUUGACACUGCAUGCCAUACAAUCAAUCGUGUUUAUCUUCACAAGCUUCUGAACAAGACAUCUUAUGAACUCCUAACUGGCAAGAAGCCAAAUGUCAGUUACUUCAGAGUAUUUGGCGCAAGGUGCUGGAUCAAGGACCCACACCACACCUCAAAGUUUGCACCAAAAGCACAUGAGGGCUUUAUGCUUGGAUAUGGAAAGGAUUCGCACUCCUACAGAGUCUUCAAUCUCUUUCAUUACAAAGUGGUUGAAAUAGUGGAUGUGCGGUUCGAUGAGACAAAUGGUUCACAAAAAGAGCAACUGCCAAAUGUGCUAGAUGAGAUUCCAGCUAGUGAAUCAAUCAAGCUAAUGGGAACUGGAGAGAUUAUACCUUCUGAAGCUCAUCCUGAAGAAGAACUUAUCAUCUCAGCACCUGAUCAACAUGAAGACAAUGCUCAGCCUGAAGACAUUCCUCCCAACAACAACACAGAUCAGCAAGAGCAAAAUCUUCGCCCUGUACAUCCUCGUGUUGCCAAUGAAGUGCAGAUUGACAGAAUAAUUGACAGCAUCAAUGCACCUGGUCCACUCACUCGUUUAAGGCCAACUCAGCUAGCAAAUUUCUGUGGGCACUUCGCAUUCGUCUCAAUAUCGGAACCCAAGAAAGUUGAAGAAGCCUUCAUGGAACCUGAAUGGAUUCAAGCUACGCAAGAAGAGCUUCAACAGUUUGAGCUGAAUAAUGUAUGGGAACUGGUUAAGCGUCCUGAUCCACGGAAGCACAACAUAAUAGGCACCAAAGGGAUAUACCGCAACAAACAAGAUGAGCAUGGUCAAGUUGUCAGAAACAAAGCUCGUCUCGUUGCUCAAGGAUAUACUCAAGUGGAAGGCAUUGACUUCGAUGAAACAUUUGCUCCCGUGGCUAGGCUUGAAGCCAUACGCAUUCUGCUGGCUUAUGCAAAUCAUCAUAACAUACUUCUAUAUCAAAUGGAUGUGAAAAGUGCCUUUCUCAAUGGCAAGAUUGAAGAAGAAGUGUAUGUUGCACAACCGCCUGGCUUUGAAAAUCCAAAACAUCCUGACAUGGUAUACAAGCUCAACAAGGCACUGUAUGGCCUCAAACAAGCCCCUAGGGCAUGGUAUGACACACUCAAAUACUUCCUGAAGAGCAAAGGCUUCAUACCUGGUUCCCUGGAUCCCACUCUUUUCACGAAGACAUAUGACGGUGAACUGUUUGUGUGCCAAAUAUAUGUGGAUGACAUUAUCUUCGGUAGCACCAAUCAGAAGUACAGUGAAGAGUUUGGAUAUAUGAUGCAAGAGCAAUAUCAGAUGUCCAUGAUGGGGGAGCUGAAGUUCUUCCUUUUACUUCAAAUACGACAACAACGCAAUGGCAUCUUCAUAUCUCAAGAGAAGUAUCUCAAAGAUUGCCUGAAGAAGUUCGGUAUGCAAGACUGCAAAGGCUUCACAACACGAAUGCCAGCCAAACAUCAUCUAGGUCCUGACGACAAUGGUAAAGAGUUCGAUCAAAAGGUAUACCGCUCCAUGAUUGGUUCUUUGCUUUAUUUAUGUGCAGCUAGGCCAGAUAUUAUGCUUAGUGUUUGCAUGUGUGCUCGAUUUCAAGCGGCACCAAAGGAGUCGCAUCACUUAGCUGUGAAGCGAAUUCUUCGAUAUUUGGCUCACACCCCAACUCUAGGAUUAUGGUAUCCAAAGGGCUCAGAGUUUGAUUUGGUUGGAUUUUCGGAUGCUGAUUAUGCUGGUGACAAAGUUGAUCGCAAGUCUACAUCAGGCACAUGUCACUUUCUGGGACGAUCACUUGUAUGUUGGUCUUCAAAGAAGCAGAACUGUGUAUCUCUCUCCACUGCUGAAUCCGAAUACAUUGCUGCUGGAUCUUGAUGCGCUCAGCUUCUGUGGAUGAAGCAAACAGUCAAAGGACUAUGGUAUUCAUCUGAAGCAAGUCCCACUUUACUGCGAUAACGAAAGCGCCAUCAAGAUUGCGAACAACCCAGUUCAGCACUCGAAGACAAAGCACAUUGAAAUUCAUCAUCACUUUCUCAGAGAUCAUGUUGUGAAGGAAGACAUUGAUAUCAUACAUGUCAACACUGAAGAACAAUUGGCAGAUAUCUUCACCAAGCCCUUGGAUGAGAAGAGGUUUUGCAAGUUACGGUGUGAGCUAAAUAUCCUGGAAUCCUCAAAUGUCCUGUGACCAGGCACACAUCCUAACCCUUAUGCAUAUUGAUGACUUAGAUGUGCAACACACGAAGUGAAGUAUAUCUUCAAAUCAAUGAAGAUAUACAUUCUAAGUGUGAAUACAUUAAUGUGGAAUUUGACUUCGGAGCGCCACGAUAAUGGUGCGUCGUGUCUGGGUCUAAUACUUCCUAUACGGUGGGUAACACCACCACCAAACGUUCUAUUUUAAAGUGUUUCACUCAUGGCGUUACCUUGCAAUGUCUUCACAGUUGAUUUGGCUUCGAAACUCAACACAUUUUCAUGAUUAUCUUCACUAUGUUGACUACAGAUAUAUAUAUAUAUAUAUAUGCUAGUGUUCUGUCCUCUACAGCAUUCACUUAUAGCUAUGUCUUCUCAGUUGAAUCUUUUGAACUAAGUGAAUGUGAUCGGACCCUAAUCUCUCUAUGCUUUCUAUCUCAAACUCUAUCUCUCCAAGUCAUAUGCAUUCUAUUGAAACUGUCGAAUGUCUUCACUGCGUCCUUGUCAGCUGAAGAUAUAGAGACAACCAUAAAGUCCGCUUUAAAUGCCCAUUCCUCCACAUAAAAUCCGGAGAAGCAGGAACGACCGCCCGACAAUCCAGGCGUGCGUGGGACGUGGAACAGACCCAAAACUUCCGCAAACUGGCCACGCGUUCCUCAGAUGUGAAUCGCCAGGGGCACCUGUGUAAUAGCACAGUGCCGCCCCUGAGCCUAUAAAUUCACACUUACCGCGGUCAUUAUCUCCUUCUUCCACCCUUGCAAGAACCCUAGCGCCACCGCUAGCACUCGAUGACGCCGACGACGAAGCGCUUCGCUGCCGCAACCUCUCCGACGCCGUCCUCACGCCGACCGCGGACAUCGUUCUCUCCGCCGAAGCCAUAGGUGUCUUUCGUCGCCAAGUUAGGGCACGGAGGACUGAACUGCUCGGCAUCAUCUCUCACUUCCGUCUAGCAGUUCCAAGUGUGGUAAAUAAAACUUCUUUUUUACAGCCCCUUUGAUCUCAUGGUUCUGUCACUUUCUACCAUAAGAAGUUUAUCUUCACACGAGUUAGAUCUUUCAAUCUGCAUCUCAUAACAUGCCUAGUAUAUUCACUUGUGCUUCAUGAAGUAGUUAGAUUCCUCACUUGUACUGAUAUGUGGGUUCGUACAAAUCUGGAACCAACUUCUUAUCUAUGAGUGAAUGUCUUUGCACGAUGAGGUCAAUGUCUUCUAAACUGAUUAAUCUUCAAAACCUUCUGAGAAUGCAUAUGACCUCUUCCCCUUCCCUCGCACCUUAAUGCUGUCACAGGUACAUGUCCGUGGGAGAAUCCUUCGGUUCUCAUAGUCUGCACUCAUUUGCAGAAUUCCUACAGUAACACAUAAACUCUCCUGAAGCCAGUUCCUGUUGGUCCAGCAAAAGAAAGCCUUCGAAGCCUUUGAAAGUUUUGAAGCCUUUCAAGUUAAAGUAUAUGGCUUCAGAAGCAGCAGCAAGGAAGGGGGACAGACAGAGACGUGAAGGAACUUCCAAAGAUCUGCCUGAAGACCUGGCAGAAAUGUAUAAAACAGAUCCUGAAGAGAAUUAUGGGCAGCGCAAGACUCGAAUCCAAUGGAUUCGACGCUAUUGGGCUGAACAAUGGUUCAAAUACCGCUUCGUCACCCAUGAGUAUGCUGAGAAAAGCGCCAUCAAAAGACCAUGGGGAGACAUCUUAUACAAGAACCUUGUUCCCAGGACUAGAGAUGAAGCCAUUGCUCAAGGCUUCUACCCAUGCAUGGUCCGAGGACCACAGCCUGAUGAUGCACAUCCGUCGUCACUACUCUGGUGUCGUGACGACAAUCUGUUCAAGCGCAACUUCCAGUUUGCCCAACAAUCAGCGAAGCAGAACAAGAAGAAAUUUGGGUUAGACUUCAACCCUGGUCCCUCCGCACCAAGGGUAGAUGGCACACGCGACGCAGAACCCAAUAUCAUCGGUCCAUUUGCCAACCUUGAAGGCCUCAUCACCCACAUCUUAGUCCAAGGGACUGCCGUGAAUGACCCUCCAGCUGACUCUGAGUCUGAUGAAGCUCCUGCUAUACCGAAGCCAAAGCAAUCAAAGAAGCCGAAAGCUUCAAAGCCGGUCCCUUCCUCAAAAAUCUCAAGGGCGAAGCCAUUGGCAACUGCACCUCCUGAAGACAGUGUGCAGUCUGAAGACGUAUCCCGCGUCUCCAAGCCCCAGAAGGCCAAAGUGCCUCAGCCACACACCGGCAAAGAGCUCACAGCUGCUGCCAUUCUGCGCAGCGAAGCCAUUGAUCUGUCAAGUGAUGAAGAUCUUGGAGAUGACGCUCUAGAGCAGCUCAUCAAGAGCAAAGAAGAAGCUGAGAUCUUCAACAAUUUGCCUCUCUUUGAUGUCGCCAUCAUCCACAACUUCAUCGACGAAUGGUUUUCCACACCGAACAUAAGCUUCGAAGAUCUGCAGCUGCCUGUUGGCCUCAGCGUCGCCUUCCAAGGAGCAAUUGCUUCAGAACUUGCCAUUGCUUAGCGCACUGUUGAACUGAAGUAGAAAAUUAAUCAUGAAAAGGCUCAGUUCAAGAAGAAUAUGGCCAAGCUCAACAUGCAAGAAGUGAAGAGCUUCAAGACCAUGUUGCAUGAGCUAAAGGAAAAUUUCCUGAAGAAGCGUGCAGAAGCUCAAGGUUCACGUGAGCGGAUGAAGUCUCUGGCAGAACGAUGUGUGCAAGCCUACAAUGAGGCCGAGAAGUGCAAGGCACUUAGGCGUCCUGGCAUUGACCCCAAGAUGGCCGCGAAGAAGAAGAAGAAGCCUGCUAUGGAUGAACCAGAGGCACCUAGGCAAGAAGCAGUUCCAAUUGUCUUCCCAACUGCAACGACUGGCUCGAAGCCAAAGAGCCGGUCAACAGCUUCAGAGCUCAAGAAGACAAGAACUGCUGAGGCUGAAGUGAGGAAGAGGAAAAGCUCUGAAGCCUCUCCUACUGCCCCCAGCAAGAAGAAGCGAAAGAUCAAGAAAUCUCCGGCUGCUCCCAUAGAGCCCUUGAUAGUUGAACCUAUCUCUAUGGUUCACCCCAACGCAGAACGACAACUGACAGUUCAUGAGCCUGCUUCCACAGAGGCUCCUGAAGCUGAAGACAUACCAGCAGCCGACCCCAUUGCUGCUAAAGACAUUGGUCAUCAGGACAAUGUACAAGAUGAUGCAGCCUUUCCUCAGUAUGAACAAAGCGAACUCAUCAACAUUGGUCGUCCUUUGAUGCCAAUUGCACAAGAUGCGUCAUGGGCGGAUCGCCCUCAAGAGGAAGAAGACAAUGAGGCCCAGCCCACUCCAACACCACAGGCGUCGUCUGCAUUCCGCAGGCUUCGCAAAGGUCCAAGGCCUCAAGUCUAUGCUGAAGACAUUCCGGCUACAUCAGCCGAAGAAGAAGCACCACAAGAGCCCACUCCAAUGCUCCACCAAGAAGCAGUUCUCCAGGAGAACAUGCUUGUGACUGACCCUCCAGCUAGUCAAGCGGAGGCUGAAAAUGUUGAGGCUGCCACAACCAACACUGAAGCCAAUGUGGAGCCCUCCCCACCAAAAGCUUCAGCAGACAGCGAAGCUACUGAUCCAGACACUUCUGUUCCUGAGUAUGCUGCAGGUCCUCAAUUUGAUUACCAUGUUGAACACAGGCCUCAUGUCCAGAAGCCAGUCCCAAGGCUGCCAAGGUUCCUAGGUCCUGCAUCAGCACCUGGCUCCUUUGACAUCAAUAGCUUCAAGGCAGACAAUACGUUCUUCAACAGCUCCAAGAACCCCUAUUCAAGGGAAAGGAUUUCAUCAGAUAGGUUCUGGAGCUAUCCUCAGCGCAGCUACUAUUCAUGCAUCCUAUACAACCAAGGUCGCAUCUUCCCGCACAAGCGCCUUGAUGUUGAAGCUAUUGCUGGUCUGCCCUGUUUAGAGGAAGCGCUGGAUUGCUUCAAGCAAGUGGGUCUGCUGCAGUUUAUAACUGAUGAAGAGCACUGGAAUGAAGAGCUUCUGUUGCAACUCUAUGCCACCCUACACAUCAAGGGAUACAACAGAGAUCCGAAGACUUGGGCCCUGGAGUGGAUGACCGGCAAUGUCCAUCACGAAGCCAAUGCAUUCGAUAUCAUUGAGCUCACUGGCCUGCCCACUCCUGGCGAACUCUUCGAGGAAGGUUGUCAACUACACACUGAAGCUCUUGAGAGCAUAUUCCAGAGGCCUGAACCAAAUAUGAGUCAUAUGCUCUCCAUGAUGAAGCCACUGCCUCUCGAUGCUCCUUAUCCAACAGAGUUCUUCAUUGAAGACUUUGAGUACCUGCCCAGAACAAUCUAUCACAUUAUCCGGCGGACUCUCUGGCCUAUUAAAGGGCACUCUCCAAAUGCCAAGAUCGAGGGUGCAAUGAAGACUCUGAUAUUCUAUAUCCUUUAUGGCAAAUGCUUCAAUGCACAUGAUUUCUUUAUACGCCAACUCGCUGCAUUAGGCUCAGAUCUGUUUGGUUUAAAAUCCUAUGCUCCUUGGGUAAUGAGACUGAUCAAGCUUCACUCUGCGAUCUCAUAUCAGCCCUCAGCCCACAACCAUCGGAUCUUCUUGCCAGAUGUGGAUACCUCUGUUAAAGCUAUAUAUCCUGAGCCUGCCAAGCAACCUUUGAGUCUUCAGAAUGCAGAACACCAGAGCUUCACUCAGAACGAUGAAGGUGUUGAAGCCAUAUCCAGGGUGUAUCCUUUGGCUGGCACUACACGUGCGCCACACCCUGCUUCAACUGAAGCCACUGAUAGUGCAACUGCUUCAAGACCCAAGAAGCGCGCUCGUGUUCUCAAUAACCGAGAGCUUCUUGUGGCCCUUCAUCAAAAACAAGAUAGGCAUCACGACUGGCUAAAGCGUCAGAUGAAAAGCCUCUUGGUGGAUGUGAAAUCUUGCCACCAAGAAUGCCUUCGUCACUCAUGAAACCUGUCGUCGUACAUGGAAAGGGCUAUCAAUGAUGUGUACUGAAGCUGAACUUGAAGAGGAUGGCUUCACUGAGCGAUUCAAGUUUGACACCACACCUCCUAGAAGGGCUGUGAUGCGCAACGCACCAUCACUUGAAGACUCUGAGUUUUCUUCAUCUGCUGCCACAGUCACUGCCAGAAUCAUUGAUGAAGAAGACGAUGCUACAUCACCGCCACCUGCUUCAGCACCUCCAAGCUCCUCUGCACCGCCAAACACCUCCAACGACCCUGCUGCUCCUGGGAACGAGUAUACACUCUAUGUCUUCAAACCUUUUUGGUCCUUGCUGACAAAAGGGGGAGAAGCAUAUGGGUUGAUAGUCUUGAAACGGGUCCGUAUGGGUGGGUGCUUUAUGUUUUGCUAUAUUUUGCUUCGUGCUUACAACUCUCGUUUUUGCUACAUUUAGUUCUUUGAGUUUCUUUGAGUUGUAACACUAAAACUCGAUGGUCGUCUGCUACUUGUUUGCCACCCUGUUUGCGAAGAUAAAUUCCGCAUGUGCGAAGAUAAAUUCUGCACUUAUCUCAUUCUGCAGACGUCCAUUUCCCAUUAUGCAUGUCAUUAUCUUCAUAUACCUUCACAUGCAUAGUGGAUUGUCAUCAUAAGCUGAAGUGGAUCUCCUCAAGUACAACCUGCCAUGUGCAUUUGCAUUCCAAAAGAAAAUUAACUUAUAUGCACAUCUUCAGGGGGAGCCCUUGCAACUUAUGAAGACAAUUCCUUAUCCCUUACAAUUUCACAGACUAUAUUCCUCAUUGAAAACUUCAACUAGUUUGUCAUCAAUCACCAAAAAGGGGGAGAUUGUAAGUGCAUCUAGUGCCACCCCUAGUUGGUUUUGGAGUAUUGACGACAAACCUAGUUGAGGGACUAAUGUGUUUGUGAGAAUUGCAGGAUAAAACAGGUAGAAGUCCCUCAUUGAUUCGGUUUUACUUCUAGAGAUGACCCCUAAAAAUGUAUGAAGACAUUGAAGCCAAAGGUGGUAUAUGAAGAUAUUCACUUUGAAGACUAUGACAAAAGAAGACACGUUAUGAAGCCUAUGGAGCUCGAAGACUUAGAUCUUUCGUAGUUCUUUUUCUUUUGUGUUGAGUCAUAGGAACCACCGUACUGUUAAGUGGGGUACAGGAGAACCAGUCAGAAUGACUGAAGUGACGCCUAAACCAAAAAACCAAUGUCUUCGAGUGAAGACAAUGAGAGCGAAUCUUGUCCAGAGCCGGACAAGUCAGCUUUGCUUGUAGCCCAAGUAAAGUUGCCAUGAGAGUUUGAAAUCUGACCGUUGAGACACGUGUCAGUUCCUUAGUGACCCCAGGGUCAUUUCGGACAAAUCAGGUCGGGUUGCCAAGUGGCUAUAAAUAGCCCACCCCCUACAACCAUAAACGGUUGGCUGCUCAGAUUUCAGUGCACGGCUUUUGUCGUUUGAGAGCAACCCACCUCGAAGCCUUUGAGAGAAAAUUCCUAGCGAGGAGAAAAGCCCUAACCACCCAGAGCCAGAGAACAUUGGGCAUCACUUAAGUCUUCUUGUCUGUGUGAUCUGAAGACUUAUUACACUUGAGGACUGUGAAUCCUCCAGACGGUUAGGCGUCGCGUUCAUAGCAUCCAAGAGACAUUGUGGAUUGCCAGUGAACGAAGUUUGUGAAGGUUUGGGAGUCUACCUUGAAGACUUACCAGAGUGAUUGGGCGAGGACUAUGUGACCUUAGCUCAAGGAGGAUACGGUGAGGACUUGGUGUCCUGAGCUGCGUGUUCAGGACUGGGUGUCCGGGACUGUGUGUCCUAAGGUUUAAAUACCUAGCCGCUCCAACCAGACGUACAGUUGUCACAGCAACUGGAACUGGUCCAACACAUCACUGUCUUCAACGAGUCACUGGUUUCAUCUUCACUUCCUUUUUCUUACUGUUACUCAUUGUGAAGCCAUUGCAUGCUUGCUCUAUCUUUUGUCUUCACAAUGUGAAUGUAUGAUCUAUUUGGCUUCAUAAUUUCUUCCUACCUGAUCCUUAUUACACUGCAGCUGUUUGUCAUUGUGCUUUCACUCUAUUGAAUACUUGACCAUGGCUGGCCUAGUGUAAUCUAACUUCCGCUGCAUAGUAAUAGGCAUAAUCUUUGCUGUUUGUCUUCAUAACUCCCACAUUUUGAAGACUUUCAUAAAAAUCGCCUAUUCACCCCCCUCUAGUCGAUAUAACGCACUUUCAUGUAUCGACUACACGAGCCUGAACAAGGCCUGCCCCAAGGAUUCGUUUGCCUUGACCUGGAUCGAUCAAGUGACCGACUCCACGGCCGGCUGCGACCUGCUGUCCUUCUUGGACGCCUACUCCGGCUACCGCCAGAUCAAGCUGGACCCGGCCGAUCAACUGAAGACCGCCUUCAUCACCUCUUUCGGCGUGUUCUGCUACAUCACCAUGACGUUUGGCUUGAGGAAUGCCGGCACAACCUUUCAACGUUGCAUGCAGAAGUGCCUCCUAAAACAACUCGGCAGGAAUGCCCAUGUCUACGUGGAUGACAUAGUGGUGAAAACGAAGAAGCGCGACACCCUUUUGGAGGAUCUCAAGGAGACCUUCGCCAACCUGCGCCAUUUCCAAAUCAAGCUCAACCCGAAGAAAUGUGUUUUCGGAGUGCCAGCCGACCAGCUCCUUGGCUUCCUUGUUUUUGAAUGCGGGAUAGAGUGCAACCCCAUGAAGAUCAAGGCCAUCGAGCGGAUGAAGAAACCGACUAAGCUGCGGGACAUCCAGAAGUUCACUGGGUGCCUAGCAUAUCUCAGCUGUUUCGUCAGCCAAUGGGCAAGAAGACCCUCCCUCUGUACCAGCUGAUGAAGAAGACCAUGUGCUUCGAGUGGACUGACCAGGCGGACGAGGCGUUCCUCCAGCUCAAUCGAAUGCUGUCCACACCGCCUGUUCUGGCCGCUCCAGCUGCCAAGGAACCAAUGCUCCUCUACAUCACUGCUACCAACCGGGUCGUCAGCACGGUGAUUGUAUUUGAACGCCCAGAAGCUGGCAAGGCGCAGCUGGUCCAGAGGCCGGUCUAUUACUUGAGAGAUGUGUUGUUGUAAGUGCAUCUACUGCCACCCCUAGUUGGUUUUGGAGUAUUGACGACAAACGUGGUUGAGGGACUAAUGUGUUUGUGAGAAUUGCAGGAUAACACAUGUAGUAGUCCCUCAUUGAUUCGGUUUACCUACCAGAGAUGACCCCUAAAAAUGUAUGAAGACAUUGAAGAAAAUGGUGGUUCAUGAAGAUAUUCACAUUGAAGAUAAUGACCUGUGAAGACAUUCACUUGAAGACUAUGGAGUGCGAAGACAUAGUUUCUUUUGUAGUUUCCUUUUCUUGUUUAUGGAGUCAUAGGAACCACCGUACUAUUAAGUGGGGUCCAAGUGAACAAAUCAGAUGACUGAAGUGAUGCUCAACCAAAUUCCAAUGUCUUCGAGCAAAGACAAUGAGAGCAAAUCUUAUCCAGAGUUGGAUGAGUCAGCUUUGCUUGUAGCCCAAGCCAAGCUGUCGCGUGUGUUUGAAAUCCCACUAUUGGACACGUGUCGCUUCCUUAGUGAACCAGGGUCAUUUCAGACAUAUCAUGUCGGGUUGCCUCCAGGAUAUAAAUAGCCUACCCCCUACACCAUAAAUUGGUGGCUGCUUAGAGUUAGUGCAUGACUUUUGUCGUUUGAGAACAACCCACCUCCGAAUCCUUUGAGAGAGAGAGAGAUCCUCGCGAGGACAAAGCCCAAAACACCUAGAGCCAAAGAGUGUUAGGCAUCACUAAAGUCUUUCUGUCCGCAUGACUUGAAGACUUGUUACACUUGAGGACUGUGAGUCCUCCAGCCGGUUAGGCGUCAUGUUCUAAGCAUCUAAGAGUCAUUGUGGAUCGCCGGUGAACGAAGUCUGUGAAGGUUUGGAGGUCUACCUUGAAGACCUACCAGAGUGAUUGGGCGAGGACUAGGUGUCCUUAGCUCAAGGGGAAUAAGGUGAAGACACAUUCUUCUGAGUUCAAUCUCAGCCUCCCUAACCAGACGUACAGUUGUCAUAGCAACUGGAACUGGUCUACCAAAUCCUUGUCUAUGCCAAGUGAUACGUCUCCAUCAUAUCUAUAAUUUUUGAUUGUUCCAUGACAAUAUUAUACAACUUUCAUAUACUUUUGGUAACCUUUUAUACUAUUUUUGGGACUAAAAUAUUGAUCAAGUGCCCAGUGCCAGUUCCUAUUUGUUGCAUGUUUUUUGUUUCACAAAAAAUCCAUAUCAAACGGAGUCCAAACGGGAUAAAAACUGACGGAGAUUUUUUUUGGAAUAUAUGUGAAUUUUGGGAAGUGAAAUCAACGUGAGAUGAUGCUCGAGGGGCCCACGAGGCAGGGGGCGCGCCCCUGGCCCUCGUGGCCACCCCGUAAGGCGGUUGGUGCCCUUCUUUCGCCGCAAUAAAGCUAAUAUCCGGAUAAAAAUCGUGUCCAGAUUUCAGCCCAAUCGGAGUUACGGAUCUCCGGGAAUAUAAGAAACGGUGAAAGGGCAGAAUCUGGGAACGCAGAAACCGAGAGAGACAGAGAGACAGAUCCAAUCUCAGAGGGGCUCUCACCCCACCCAUGCCAUGGAGGCCAUGUACCAGAGGGGAAACCCUUCUCCCAUCUAGGGAGAAGGUCAAGGAAGAAGAAGAAGGGGGGCUCCCUCCCCCUCUCUUCCGAUGGCGCAAGAACGCCGCCGGGGCCAUCAUCAUCACCGCAAUCUACACCAACAACUUCACCACCAUCAUCACCAACUCUUCCCCCCUCUAUGCAGCAGCGUAACCCCUCUUUUACCCGCUGUAAUCUCUACUUAAACAUGGUGCUCAAUGCUAUAUAUUAUUUCCCAAUGAUGUAUGGCUAUCCUAUGAUGUUUGAGUAGAUCCGUUUUGUCCUAUGGGUUAGUUGAUGAUCGUGAUUGGUUUGAGUUGCAUGUUUUAUUAUUGGUGCUGUCCUAUGGGGCUCUCCGUGUCGCGCAAGCGUGAGGGAUCCCCAGUGUAGGUUUUGCAAUAUGUUCAUGAUUUGCUUAUGCUGGGUGGCGUGAGUGACAGAAGCACAAACCCGAGUAAGUAGGUUGUUUGCAUAUGGGAGUAAAGAGGACUUGAUGCCUUAUAAUGCUAUGGUUGGGUUUUACCUUAAUGAUCUUUAGUAGUUGAGGAUGCUUGCUUCCAAUCAUAAGUGCAUAUGAUCCAAGAAUAGAAGGUAUGUUAGCUUAUGCCUCUCCCUCAAAUAAAAUUGCAAUAAUGAUUACCGGUCUAGUUAUCAAUUGCCUAGGGAUAAAUAACUUUCUCGUGACAAAAAUCUUUCUACUAAAACUAACUUAGUUGUCUUCAUCUAAACAGCCCCUACUUUUUAUUUACGCGCUCUUUAUUAUCUUGCAAACCUAUCCAACAUUACCUACAAAGUACUUCUAGUUUCAUACUUGUUCUAGGUAAAGCGAACGUUAAGCGUGCGUAGAGUUGUAUUAGUGGUCGAUAGAACUUGGGGGAAUAUUUGUUCUACCUUUAGCUCCUCGUUGGGUUCGACACUCUUACUUAUUGAAAGAGGCUACAAUUGAUCCCCUAUACUUGUGGGUUAUCAAGACAUUUUUCUAGCGCCGUUGCCGGGAGUUAUAGCGUGGGGUGAAUAUUCUCGUGUGUGCUUGUUUGCUUUAUCACUAAGUAAUUUUUAUUUGCUGUUCUAAGUUGUUCUCUAUCUUUAGUUAUGGAUAUGAACACGAAAUACCAAAAAAAUAGGUUUACUUGCUACUCAUGGAGAUGGGGAACCUCCUAAAACCCUCGAUGCUCAUUAUGUGAAAGAUAUUAUGUACUACUUUGAUAAUCCUGAGAAAACCCCAUUCAACUUUAUAAUGGGAGUAACGUUGGAUCAACAUGAAUACUUUAGGGAUUAUCGCUUGACUCAAAAAUGGAAACUAUUAUGGGACCAAAUUUAUAUGUUGCAUUGAUAUGCUCGACAACUAUGCUUGAGAUAUGAUUAUACUUGUUGCUCUAGGAUGAAAGGCUCCACACCUUCCCUUUUCAUGUGAAUUUAAUGAUGAUGAAACCUUGGCUUCUUAUGCUAAUGGUAUAUAUGAUUAUUAUGAUGUGGAACACAUAGAAGAAUUCGUUGCUUUUAUGGGUGCUUAUGAAAUUGAAUCUUUGUUUGAAGAGUUUGAAGAUUUUGAUGAUUCAGUUUAUAGACCUGAAAAUUUAGCUAUCCUUAAAUAUUGCUAUGAGAAUUAUAAAUACAAUUAUGAUAUUGAUGAAUUUAUUGAGAAAGUCUCCGCUGUCCGAGAAACGACUAAUAUUUUGCAGGAGUCUAUGGAAGAAGAAAUUGAUGAAACUGUGAGCUCAUUGGAUGAAAAAGAUGAUGAGGAGAGCGAAGAACAAAAGGAGGAAGAGCAGAUUAGCUACCCGUGCCCACCUUCUAAUGAGAGUAACUCUUCAACUCAUACAUUGUUUAAUUUCCCUUCAUGCUUACCGAAGGAUGAUUGCUAUGAUGAUUGUUAUGAUCCCGUUGAUUCUUUUGAAAUAUCCCUUUUUGAUGAUGCUUGCUAUGCUUGUGGCCAAGAUGCCAAUGUGAAUUAUGCUUAUGGAGAUGAACUUGCUAUAGUUCCUUAUGUUAAACAUGAAAUUGUUGCUAUUGCACUCACGCAUGAUAGUCCUAUUAUCUUUUUGAAUUCUCCUGACUACACUAUAUCGGAGAAGUUUGCCCUUAUUAAGGAUUAUAUUGAUGGGUUGCAUUUUACCGUUGCACAUGAUAAUUUUGAUGAAUAUAAUAUUCAUGUGCUUGCUGCUCCUACUUGCAAUUAUUAUGAGAGAGGAACUACAUCUCCACCUCUCCAUGUUUCCAAUAUGAUAAAAUUGCAAGAAACUGUUUAUACUAUGCAUUGGCCUUUACUAUGUGUGCAUGAAUUGUUCUUUUAUGACAUGCCGAUGCAUAGGAAGAGAGUUAGACUUCGUCAUUACAUGAUAUAUGUUGCUUUGUGCUCACUACUAAAUCACAAAUCAUUGUUAAUUAAAAUUGGCUUUGAUAUAUCUUGGGAUCCAGGUGGAUCCAUUACUUGAGCACCUUAUGCCUAACUUAAUGGCUUUAAAGAAAGCGCUGCCAAGGAGACAACCCGGAAGUUUUAGAGAGUCAUUUAUUUCUGUUGAGUGCUUUUAUAUAGUUUAAAAACAAAAUAAAUAAAGAGGGGAACCCAAAACUUUUCAAAAAGGAAAGUGAAAGUGAGAGAGACAAGCAUUGUUGAAGUGGGGGAGCUCCUUGAACUUUGUUCAUGCUCACGGAAACUUUGUGAAUCUUGAUUACAGAAACUUCUCAAGAAAAAUAAUUACCUCCUUGUACAAUUCCAUUGUAUUAUAAAAAUAAUGUGCCAAGAUUUGCCUUUAGGAUGUUUACAUUGCUUGUUGGUUUGUGCGGUGCAGAACAAAAACUUUGGCUGUAGUGCGCGAUUUUACAUUUUUUACUGGAACGUCAAACGGUUCUGAAACUUUUUGCACUGCAUUAUAUACAAAUUGUUUAUUUUUCCUAAUUGUUUAAGAAUUUUUGGAGUACCAUAAGUAUGAUGAAUGUUCAGAUUACUACAGUCUGUCCCGUUUAAGACAGAUUCUGUUUUUGAUGCAUAGUUUGCUUAUUUUGAUGAAACUAUCAAUUUC
rnacentral:lncRNA from 1 species